UCGCGUCCGCGCGUCCACCGCGAGUGUCGUCGUGACGUUCUCGUCGUACUACAGUUCUAUCGUCGUCUACGUGUGCUAUGCGCGAGCGUGUCUCGCUUCGUGUCGUGUACUCUUCUGCUUCUUCUCACGCGUCGAAUCGGUGCCAUGUCGAUGUCAUGUUUCUCUCCUUCCUCCUCCUCCUCCUCCUCUCGCGCCGCGCCGCCUCACCGUCGGUGUCGUCGCGAGCCGCCAAUCUUCGUCUCCUUGCCCGCUGGACGCGGCGCGGGAAUCCUCUUCCCGCCGCCGCCGCCGGCCACCGUGAAGUCAUCCGGCCCCGCGCCGACUGACGGAUCAAACGUCCGCGCGUUCCGCCUUCGACCAUUCUCUCAUCGUGUCUCCGAAACUCCAAUUCCGUCGCGAGCCGCGACAUAAUUCCCCGCGCCGCGCCGCACCGCCGCGGGAGCGACCCGUCCCUCGUCGUCCUCCUCGUCCCCGAACGCGAUGGCGGCGCCCCCCCCGCGCGCCGUCGCCGUCCACCUCGGCCCCGGGAACGCGCACCUCGCGACGCGCGCGGACGUCCUCCACACGCCCGGCGUCAGCGUCCUCGCGACGAAUGAUGCAUCUCUUGAAUCGUCGGCACCGACGCGCGACGGCGAGAAGAACGACGCUCAUCAUCGGGCGCCGCCGCGCCGACAACAGACCGUCCGCGGCGUCCUCCUCGCGAAGGAUCACUUCGAGGUGUUGGGGUUCGACUUCUUCGGCGGCGGCGACGACGUGAAGACGGACGCGGAGGUGUUCACGGCGUACGUGCGCGCCGGGAUGGCGACGCAUCCGGCGUCGUGCCACGACGCGGUGAACGCGCCCGCCGCGUUCGUUCGCGUCGGCAAGGCGUUCGCGGCGCUUCGAACAGAGAAGGACAGGAGGGCGUACGUCAACGCGCUCGCGACAGGGCGCAGACGCGAGCUCCCGUCGAGCGACGUCGACGACCCGUUCCCGCCGGGGACGCCGUCCAGCGACGCCGCGUCGAGCGCGUCUUUGUCGUCGUCGAUGGUGGAAGAGGAACUGCUCGCGUUGGAGCUCGAGACUGAACUCGCGCGCUGGGACGCGGAGUUUGGGAACCCGCGCAUGGACGCGCGGCGGUUCGGGCGGUGGGCGUCGGUUCGCGAGGAGGGCGAACUCGCCACGCGGAGCCUGUGGAGGAGCGACUUCGAGGAUAGGAAAGAGCCGGUGUUCAAGCCGCGGCGUCGGAAUCGCGCGAUUUGGGAAGCACGACCGGGGACGACGCGCGACGAUUUUCUCAACGCGGUGUUCAACGCGGAGACCGAGGCGAGGGACGAGUACAAGCGCCGGUGGUGCCCGGAGCUGUAUCACAAGGGCAGACAUCUCGCGGACGUCACGGCGAAGGCGGUCGCGAAAGCGCCGCCGGUGUCCACGAAGACGAACCCGUUUUAGGAAUAGCGAGCGUAAUACGUCUCCGGCUUCGACUCCAAUCCUAGGCGAGACACUGACGAGGAGGACGCGUCGGGGCGAUGAGUGUGUACGUGUACAGCUGUGAACUGUGAACUGAACGCGAACUUGACAGCUUUUUUUUCGUCGCCCGAACCGCCGCUCCGCGCGGUCCGUCACUGUUCGCUCCCCGCGGCACGCGCACCCUCAGUUGCGCGCGCUCGACUCCUUCCCCGCGUCGAAUCCAAGCGCGCGCGCGCGCGGCGCCGUCGGGCGCGCGACCGACGCGCGCGACCGCGGCCGACGCGCGCGCGGCUUCCCCUCGCCGCGCCUCGAUCGCUUUUCCGCGAAUCUCGCCAUCGCCGUUUUUUUCGCGCGUCACCAUCCGUCCGUCCUCCGCCGCUCGUCCACAGGCGCGCUUCGGCCACCAUGGUCGCUAGUAGGAAGAGAGCGCAAGGCAGGACGCGCGUCGUUGAACCGAGCGCGAAGCAAAAGAAGUUCAAUGCCACGGUCCAGGCCAUCCGCGACAACUUCAAAGCGCGCGCGGAUCCGUCGUGCGAGCUCUCUCCGAAGGAAAAGUUCGACGCCGCGCAGCGCGACUUGGAGAAACUCGUCGACGCCAUCGGCGAGUUCCUCGGCCGCAAGCUGCACUUAAGGCGGAUUCUUCUUCCCGAGGACGCGGAGUGGACCGAGAGCGGCCUCAAGGAGAAGUUCAACGUCAUCAUCGGGCACUUCGAGACCGACGGGAUCGGACUCCGCGGGAACUUGCGAAAGCUCCGCGGCGACGGGAAGCGGCUCGUUUCCGACGUCUGGGAUUGGUUUUUUGCUCACAUCGAUGAGACGCCCGCGGCCGGUCGCGCUCGCGCGCCUUCGUUUGUCAUGGGCAACAUGAUUCCCUGGCCUGGGCGUCACGACGCCGGCAAGAUCAUCUUGAAAGGCGUCGGGACGCGCGAGAGGAAGUUGAUCGAGGACUUGAUCGUCGAGGCGUUGAACGCCUGCGGGACGCCCGAACGCGCGGGGGGCUUCGGUCGGCCGGUGAGUUCCUUCUUUCCCACGCCCCUCGACUUUUUCGACGACGCUGCGCUGCAACGCCCCGAUCUUGUUUUCUGACUGACGCGCGCGCCCCUUCCUCCCCCGACCGUUCACAGGCACGCGAAUGGAUGGCGAAGCACUGCCCUGCGGAUAUGCCCGCGGAGCGCGCCCUGUGGCCCGAGCUGGACGGUGAUGUCCACACCAAGUCCGUUCACAUGUGCUUGGCGACGUCCAUCGGGUCGACGCGGUGGCUCACGGAGCGCUUCAUCCGAGGCAUGGCGGACUUGUUCGUGCACUUCGGCGGGCCGGCGGGCACCUUCGACACGCUCUUGGCGAAGUUCAAGGAGGACGGCCGCCUGCUCGAGAUCACGCCGGAGAUGGCGGCGUGGUUCUCCGAGAGGAUCAAGGAGGGGCAGCAGUACUGGAAGGUGACGGGCCAGUCGAAGAACGCGCCCGGGGUGGGGACGCGCGGGCUGAAGAAGAGAAAGAAGGCGGCGAGGGCGAAGAAGGUGAUGGAGAGGACCGCGCCGGAGAAGGCGGCGACGCGGGAGAAGAUGCUCGCGACGCUGAGCAAGAAGACCGACGCGGAGAAGGCGGCGUCGGAGAAGAAGAGGCUCGCGUCGCGGAGCAAGACGCUGAGCAAGAAGACCGACGCGGAGAAGGCGGCGUCGAAGAAGAAGAUGCUCGCGACGCGGAGCAAGACGCUGAGCAAGAAGACCGCGGCGGAGAAGGCGGCGACGGAGAAGAAGAGGCUCGCGUCGCUGAGCAAGACGCUGAGCAAGAAGACCGUGGCGGAGAAGGCGGAGACGAAGAAGAAGAUGCUCGCGACGCUGAGCAAGACGCUGAGCAAGAAGACCGUGGCGGAGAAGGCGGAGACGCAGAAGAAGAGGUCCGAGACGCUGAGCAAGAAGAAGAAGACGCCGUAGGAGAAGGCGGAGACGACGAAGAGGAGGCGCGCGGGGUCCGAGAAGAGGAAGUAGUCCCCCAACAACCGCAUCAUGCGCUUAGGGGAGGGGGAGAUGAAUGCCGUAUUAUUACAUUUAAACGCGCUCGUUCGAUCAGUCGCAGUCGCGUUACGAAUCUUACUUCGGAUAAGAAGGAUUAUGCCCCAUCGACUUAAUAUUGUCUAACUAACUUAUCGCCGGGUCUUUGUACUUCUUAUACACCGCGUCGAUGUCGUCCAAACACUCCUGCGUCAUCUCCACGUUAAACGCGUCGAUGUUCUCCCCCAGUUGCUCCAUCGACGUCGCGCCGAUGAUCGUCGACGUGACGAACCACCGCGACCGCACGAACGCCAGCGCGAGCGCCGCGGGAGAGAGCCCGUACUCCCCCGCCACCCUCGCGUACUCCGCCGUCGCCUCCCUCGUCGCGCUCUUGUUGAACCGCUCCAUGUACCCCGGAAACAUCGUGAAACGCGCGCCCUCGGGCGGGCUCUCCCCGAGGUAUUUACCCGUCAGCGCGCCGCCCGCGAGCGGGGAGUACGCCAGCAGACCGACGUUGGCGUUUGACGGCGAGCACACCUCCGCGAGAUCCGUUUCAAACGCGCCGCGCGUGAGCAAGCUGUAACUGUUUUGAAUCGACACGAGCUUCGGCAUGCCGCUCGUCGCCGCGAUCCGCGCGAACUCGCACACGCCCCAGCUCGUCUCGUUGCUCACGCCCAGGUGCCGGACCUUCCCUUGGCGAAUCAAGUCGUCGAACGCGCGGAGUUGCUCCUCGAACGGGACGUCGUCGUCGUUGACGUUGGCGACGUCGUAGGGCGACGCGCCGAACAGCGAGACGUAGCGAUCCGGCCAGUGAAUCUGCAGUAAAUCUAUGUGAUCCACCUGGAGGCGCGACAGCGAGUGCUCCACGGACUCCAUGAUGUGCUUGCGCUUCACGCGCGGCGUCUCGUUGUCGCCGCGGGGGAGCCACGUGAUGCGAUCGCUGCGGCCGCUCACCUUGGUCGCGAGGACGACGUCCUCGCGGCGGCGGGAUCGCAACCACGUGCCGAUGUACUCGUCCGUCUUUCCCUGCCUCGCCGCCUCGGUCGGGACGGGGUACAUCUCCGCGGUGUCGAUGAAGUUGACGCCCGCGUCGACCGCGUACGACAGCUGCGCGUGCGCGUCGCGCUCGGUGUUUUGCUUCCCGAACGUCAUCGUGCCGAGGCAGAUCUCGGAGAUCAUCAGGUCGGAGUCGCCGAGGAGCCUGAGCUCGCCGGGGUUGCCCUUCCUCGCGGGGGGCGGGGGCGGGGAGGCAUCGUCGGAGGAGGACGCGCGGGCGGGGGUGCGGGGGCGGCGCGACGCGCGGGGGAACGCGACGCGCGCGGCGGCGCCGAGGGCGAACGCGUGCGCCGCCGGCAUCGAGAAGUGCGACGUCAGCGUCGACGUGGCAGCGCUUUACGUACGCUUUUCAGGAGAUCGGUUUCACAGUUUCGAGCGACGCUUUCACUACGAAGGCACCGCUCGUCUACGCCGCGACGCCGCCAUCCCAUCGCUUCCCGCCGCCUCUUUAUCACUUCCUCCGCGCCUCCAACUCUUUCAGGUACCGCUUGGACAGCUUCAGGACGAUCCCACCGCCGGCGCCGCGCGGGACGUUCGAGCCCGCGCACUUGGUCAGGGCUUCGUCCUUCGCGUCGUCGUCCUCCUUCUCCACGCCCGCCGCCUCCCACGCCUUCUCCGCAGCCUCUCGCGUCGCCAUCACGGCCGCGUUCUCCGGGCCGAGCUUGAGCUUCGCGCCGUACUCCCUCGCGGCGCCCUCGAGAAUCGCCGCGGCGUCGAGCCAAUCGCCAGCGGCGCCCGCCUGCUCCGCGGCGUUGCGGACGGCUUUCAACACCUGCCCUCUGACCCCCGAGAGCUCGGCUUUCCACGACGCCUCGCCGGCGAAGCACUCUUCCAGGGCGAGGAGCUCCGGGAGGGUCUCAGGCGCGACGCUCGGCGGGCCGAGCGCGGCCGUGACCUCGGAGAGCUUUUCGGUGAGCUUUGGCGGCGAGCCUUUCGCCGUAGCCGCCUUCUCUCGCGCUUUUUUAACCGACUCCACGCGCAGCUUGUACGCUUCCUCGAGCAUCGUCCUCGCCUGCGCGCGCGCGCCGGACUGGGACAGCUGCGCGGCGCUGUUGCGCAUCGCCCACAGUUUCUCCGCGAGCGGGAUCGCUUCUUGGUCCGCUCGGAACCGCGCCUUGCGCGAUUCCUCGCGCUCCGGGUAAUUUUCCUCGUCCGUCGUCGGCACGCCCGCGAGCUUCUUCCUCGCCUCCUCCUCCGCCUUGUCGAGGAUAGCCCGCACCGGGUCGCCGUCGGGGAGGAGCUCGCGCGUCAUCGCCGCGGCCUGGGACAGAGUGUCCCCGCUGAAGCCGUCGAGGUACAUCGCCUUCCACGAAGAUCCCUCCGCGUUGGCGACUUUGCCUAAAAUUUGCGCCGCGAGCGUCUCGCAGUUGGCGAGAAGCGACGCGUCGCCGCCGUCCGCGGCGACGCUCGCGCGCCUCAGCCAGUGCGACAGCGUCAAAAUCGUCGCGAUCAAAACCCCUUUUAGCGGGUUCGCGCGCCUCUGAUCCAUAUCCUUCUCGGUCACCGCCGGAAACACGAGCCCGCCUUCCAACCCGUGGAGCUGCGACAGCUCGUACCGCGACACGUACUCCAGAUCCUCCGUCGCCACCGCAAAGGCGUUGUCCCCCGCCGCGCUCGCGGCGGCGAUCAAACGAUUCGACACGUUAUCAAAAUCCGACAUCGGUAACGCCGCGCGCGUGACCGUCACCUCCUCCUCCCUCGACUCCGCGCGGUUCGAGCUCGUCCCGUUCGGCUGUCGAAGCGCGAGCUCCAACCCGGCGCCGACGCGCAUCGUCAGCGUCCGCAGCUCUGCGUCCGUCCUCGCCUGCGCGACGCGCAUCCAGUGAUCGAACUCGACCUCGUCGAACCCGCCGCUCUCCACGCCGAUCGCGCACGGCUCAACCAGCAUCUGCUUCACGCGCGCGUCCGAGGCGUAGUUCGUCAGCGCGGCGCGCGCGACGGAGGAACACAUGCGAAGCGCGCCCUGACGCGCGAGCUCCGAGCUCGGAAACGUCGCCGUCUCCGCGCCCGGCGACGACGCCCCGGCGCGCGCGCGGACGGUCGCCUCGACGUCCCCGCGCGCGGCGCGGAAGUUGAGCUCGACGUACGCGGUCACGUCGAACGACUUGCUCGUCUCGCCGCGCCGCGAGCGCUCCGCGGCGCGGCGAGCCUCCUCCGCGGCUCGAGCCUCCGCCUCCUCGACCCGCCGCCGCUCCUGCUCCUCGCGCGCCUCCCUCUCUCGCCUCUCGCGCUCGACGCGCUCCUUCUCCUCCUUCUCCUCUCGAAGCGCGCGCUCGAUCUCCGCGCGCUCCGCGAGCUCCGCGCGCACUUUCGCGCGCCGCGCCUCCUCCGCUCUCUCCGCCUCGGCGCGAGCCUCAGCCUCCUUCGCCAGGCGGAUCUUCUCGCUCGCGACAAACUUCGCCUCGUCCUCGUCGCGCUUCUUCUUUCGCGCCUCCUCCGCCGCCUUGGCGUCCGCGAUGCUCUUUGCGCGGCGCUUCUCAUCCUCGACGCGGUCCUCCUCGGUGAAGACUUUCAACCCGCCGCCGCCGCCGCCGCCGCCGCCGCGCGCGACGAGAUCCGCGAGCGCGCCCGCGGCCGCCGCCGCGCGGCGCUCGGACGCCUUCCUCCCGAACAGCGCGCCGACGACGAACGCGAUCGUCACGGCCAUCCCGGCGGCGGGGGCCAUGCCGAGCUGGCCCCCGGGCGCGGACGAGAUGUGGUUCGUCGCGCUCGCCGCGAAAGAGGACGAGGAUUUGGACGACGACGACGACGACGAAUCGUCCUCCGCCGAUUUCCCCCAUCGCGCGACGUCUUCCCACGUCCCCAAGGACUCGACGAAGUCCUUCGCGUGAUCGAGCGGGGUGUAGUCCACCUCGACUUCCUCGUACUCCUCGAUCUCUUCGUACUCGUCCUCGUCCUCGUCCUCGCACUCCUCGACCGCGGCGGCGUCGGUCGCGGUGACGAAUUCUCCAUCCUCCGUCGCGGAGGGUUCUAGGGAUUCGGUGCGACGCGUCGCGCGGUCGUCAUCGCGCGCGUCGUCGUCGUCGUCGUCCGUCGCGCGGACGGAGACGACGCGACGGCCGCGCGGCCGCGUCGCCGCGCGAUUCGCGAGCGCCCUCGACGACGACGACGACGACGACGACCCCGGGGCGGGGACGAGGGCGCGCGCGGGAACGGCGACGGCGCGCCGCCGCCGCGACGACGACGACGACGACGACGACGACGACGCGCUCGACGCGCUCGACGCGACGCAUCGCGCGCGCGCUCUCGGGCGUCCACCGACGACGCGACGCGGCGCGCUCCAUCGCCGCGACGCUAGCGCCGGAAUCGAUCCCGCCGCGGCCAUCACGGCGCCGCCGUGACCGUGCGCGUGCAUCACGACUAUGGUUCGACGUGGUUGGAUGCCCACUCUUCGUCAGGACGUCUGCUAAAAAUUCUACUUUCGUAACAACUUACCUUCGUAAUCUCAACGAAAAGUAUGUACCUCAGGAGUCGCCGAACGCCCUCUCCUCCGCCGCUAUCGUCGCCUUCAACACGAUCACCGCCGCUUUCUUAUCCAAAAUCGCGUUGUACUGAUCGCACGAGAGGUAGUGCACGCAUCCGGGGCAUCCCGUACGGUCGGUCUCCUCGCACGCGCCGCACGUCGCGGUCGCGUCGGCGCUCCCGCCGCCGCCGCCGCCGCCGCCGCACCCGCACCCGCACCCCUCGACCAACUCGAGCGCGGCGACGAGCAACUCCCGAAACAACCCCGCCGCCUGCCGCGCGAUCCCGACCCCGCCCGGGUGCCGGUCGUAAAUCAACAGCCGACUCGCCCGGUAAUGCCCGUCGUGGUGCGGAUUAUCGCACUCCGCGCCGACGUCGCUCGCGUCCGCCAUGACGUAAAGCGGCAACGCGUUUAUCACUGAGGGUCAUUCCAUACAAAAACAGUUCUCCGGUCAGUUGAAAGGGGACGCGAUCAAAUGUUGAAACCGAAGGAUGGGUGAAAAACUUUUGUAUAGAACGCACCCGCGUGCGUCGCCGCGUGGACGCCCGCGCGAAAUUCCACCCCCGCGUCCGCGCACAUCCUCCGCGCGACGUCCGGGACGCGCACCCACGCCGCGAUCGUCGUGUACGACACGUCCGGGAGGGUCUCCCUCAGCGGCACGGUGUCGAAACACGUCCCGGACGCGUGCCAUAUCUUGCGGUAGCCGAAAAACGUGACGGCGACCUCCGCCCGCGCCGACUGCGCGCUGCUCUCUCGAUUCGCCGGGCGGCUCGCCGCGCCCGUGACGGACGUCGCGCGGUCUGGGUACGCCACCGUCGUGGACGCGUUCGCGAGCGUCGUGACCGUGGUCUUGUCCACCAUCUUCGUGAAGUACUUCACGUCCGCUAAACGCACGACCGCGGUCAGUUUCUUCACGUCGAGGGACACGCACAGAAACGUCCGCGCCUGAUUCAUGUACACCGCGCCCGGGUACACCUCCCAAAACGCCUUGGAUCGCUCCACCUCUUCGACGCACUCGCCGGUUCGCUCGUCGACGAUUCGGUACCGCUCCUCCUCGAUCGCGCGGACGCUGACGCCGUUCGCGGGCGGAGACGCGCCGCACCAGCGCAGCCGCACGUCGAGCGACGCCUUCCACUCGCCGAGGAGCGAAGCGUCCGGGACGACGAGUCGCCUCUCGCGGAGCCGAUCGCACACCACCUCCAGCGCGCUUCCGAAAUAGAGCCGCGCGUCCCUUCCGCCGCCGUCCGUGAUGGCCGACUUCGGCAACACGCGCGGGUCUAACGGCAUCUCGUGCGACGCGCACGCGACGUGCGCUUCCAUCACGCUCGGAUUACACGGGUCGAUCGCCGCGCGCUCGAUCGGUCGGCCGAACAACUUCGCCGGCGACCGCAUGAAGUGUUGAUCGAGCGGCCCGUCGAACGCGACGUACACGCUGAGCGCGCGUUUCCCUCUGCGACCCGCCCUCCCGGCUUGUUGUAUCAGCGACGCGACGGUCCCGGGAAAACCCAGGUGCAGCGUGACGUCCAGCGCGCCGACGUCGACGCCGAGCUCGAGCGCGUUGGUCGCGGCGACGCCGCGGACGGAGCCGGAGAAGAGCGCCUUUUCGAUCGCUCUUCGAUCGACGCUCGAGUAGCCGCCUCGGUACGCGAGCACGGAGCCGCACAGGGACGGCGCGCCCGUGGACGCCAACGCCUCGCGCGUGUACUUGAGCACGAGCUCGCAGAGUUUCUUCGUCUUGCAGAACGCGAUGCACUUCAGGUCGUGGCGGACGCAUUCCGCGAGCAGCGCGGAGAUUUCGACGACGGGCGACGUCCGACGAGGACCGGAGCCGUAGACGCCGAGAGUGCCCUUCCCCAACGCCGCCGCGGCGUCGGACGUGAGCGAGAGGCCGUGCGUUUUCGCCCGCCGCGCGGUCUCGCGGGCCUUCCACACCGGCGUGAACGCAUCCCCGGCGGCCGUUUCCGUUUCCGUUUCCGUUUCGGCGGCGGCGUCGGCGUCGGCGGCGUCGGCGGCGUCCCCGCCCCGCAGACGUUUGGCCACCGCCGCCUUUCCCCUCGGCGCCGCGUCCUCCGGCUUCUUCCCCGGCUUCCCCGGCGGCGGCGGAUCCUUCACCGGCGGGUUCCACAUCAGGAACGUCUUCUCGCCGCACGGGGACCCGUCAUCGUCGACGACGACCCACCCGUGCGGUUCGUCGUCGUCGUCAUCGUCGCCGCCGCCGCCGUCGCCGCCGCCGCCGCCGCCGCCGCCGGCGGCGAUCGGAAACGCGCCGACUAAAUCCCGCGCGUGGUUCCCCGGCGCCGCGAUCGUCGCGCUCGUGACGAUAAACGUCGGCUCGCCGCCGUACAGCUCCCGGCACAGCCGUCGGAGCCUUCGAAUCACGAGCGCGACGUGCGAUCCGAACACGCCGCGGUACGCGUGCGCUUCGUCUAUCACGACGUACCUGAGACCGGUCAACAUCGCGCGCCACUUUCUGUGGUUCGGCAACACGUUGACGUGCAACAUGUCCGGGUUGGUGAUCACGAGCCGGUCCUCGCGCUCGAUCCUCGCGCGCUCCGCGUCGCUCGUGUCGCCGUCGUACACGCCCGCGCUCGGCACGAACACGGGGACGCGCGCGUCGUCCCCGCGCGCCGCCGCCGCGGCCGCCGACGCCGCCGCGGCGCGAAGCAUCACGCGCAACGCGCGCAGUUGGUCCUGCGCGAGCGCCUUGGUCGGGAACAGAUACAACGCGGUGGCGGCGGCGUCCGACGUCAACGCCUGUAACACCGGGGCGUUGUAGCACACGGACUUCCCGGACGCGGUGCCGGUCGCGACGACGACGUUGCGUCGCGCGAGCGCGGCGGCGACGCCGAAGUGCUGAUGCGAGAAGAGCGACAGACGACGCGGCGGUCGAUCGACGGCGGCGUCGCGAUCGCCCUCGCCCUCGCCCUCGCCCGCGAACGCGAACGGCACGCCGGCGGCGUGAAGCGCGUCCGCGACCGCGGGGGAUAACCCCGGCGCGCGCGCGUCGCAUGUCGGCCCGAUCUUGAGCUCUCGCGCGGGGACGUCGAUCCUGUGCGCGCACUGGCCGCGCGCGCCGAGCGCGUCUUCGUCCGACGUGAGGUGCGCGAUGAACUCGUCCACGGACAACGCGUCCGCGCGGCGACACCGACACCGCGUCUUCGUCUUCGUCGUCGUCGUCGAACGCGGCGGCGCGAGCGGCGCGAGCGGUUCGAGCGCGUCGUCGCGCGCCGCGCCGCGCGAUCGAGCCGAUCGCGCGUCGCGUCGCUCCGCCUCCGCGCGGCGCGCGAACGCGGCCGUGUCCAGGGCGUCGACGAUUUCCCGAAGCGCUUUUUCGUCGUCGUCGCCGGCGGCGGCGCCGGCGGCUCGCGUCGCGUCCAUCUCCGCGGCGAGCGCGAGCGCGACGCCGCGACGGAACGCGUCGACGCGCUUCUUCACGGCGGCCGCCCCGGGGGCGGUCCUCGCGCUUCGUCUCCGUCUGCGUUUCUUCGCGCCGGUUCCGUCGUCGUCGUCGUCGUCGUCGCCGUCGUCGUCGUCGCGAGCGAUGCGACCGGACGUCCUCUGCCCGUGAAUCACGACCUCGAUCUCGUCGGUCAUCGCCCGCUCCCGCUCGCGCGCGUCCUCCUCCUCGCGUAUCGGGACGUCGCGCGCGGAGCGACCGGGCGUCGGCGCGGUCACACGCAGCAGCACGUCGAUCUCGUCGUCCGCCGUCGCCGCGCCGCCGCCGCCGCCGCCGCCGCCGCCGCCGCCCUCCUCUUCGUUCGCGUCGACGCGGCGGUGCGCGCACGGCGUCAAACGCAGCGACCCCGGACAUAACGCCGCCAUGACGUGGAGAUCGUCCAACGUCACGUCCACGUCCACGUCGCCGUCGCUCGUCGCCGCGCGCGUCAUGUGCGUCAGCGCGGAGGAUAUGAACCGCCACGCCGGAUGUAUUUUUUGUCGCGCGACAAACGCCGCCGCCGUCGCGACGCGCGCGUACGCGACGCACAGGCGCUCGAGCGACGGCGGGAGCGACGCCGGCGGCGGGGGCGUCGGCGGGGGAGGGUCUGCUUUUUGUUUCCGUCGCGCGCGAGGGGCUCGCGGCCGCUUCGCCGGGGGAGGGGGGGCGUCGGGCGUCUCGAUCGCCGCCGCCGCCGCCUCCGCCGCCGCCGCCGCCGCCGCCGCCUCCGCCGCCUCGCCCGCGAGCUCCGCCCACAGCCCCUCCCCCGCGGCGACGACCGCGGCGGCGCGCUCGCGCGACGACGCGUCGCCGCCGCUCGUGGACGCGCGCGCUCCUCCGUCGCGCGGCGCGCGGCCGCCGACGGGGACGGCGAGCGGGUCGUCGUCUCCGCCGCCGCCGCCGCCGCCGCCGUCGCCGCCGCCGCCGUCGCCGUCGUCGCCGUCGUUCUCGCGGAUGUAGUUUCUCGCGCGGUAUCCCGGCGACGCCGGCGCGGUCGGCGGCGGCAGCGGCGGCGGCGUCCGCUCCCUCUCCGCGACGCGCUCCCUCUUGACCUUCUUGCUCACCCUGGAGUACCCCUUCACGAUCACGACCUCCCCCGGUGGGUGCCCCGCGGCGUUGAACGGCGCGUCCCCGGCGAGCUCGCCGACGACGUUCGAGUGGAUCCGCGCGCGCGUGCCCGCGUGUCCGAACGCGUCCGCGAUGGUGGCUCUGACGACGUCCACGGUGGCGUCCGCGGGGACGGCAAUCUCGACGGUCUUGCCUGCGGCGCGAACGGAGAGGAGCGAACGUCAGCGCGAGCGCGAACGAGGGAGAUCUCGCGCGGGAGACGAGGCGCGGCGUGGAGUCCGGAAAAAACCGAUUGACAUCGAUCGAUCGAUCGAUAGCGACUCGGGCGCGGCGCGGGCGCGCACCCGAGAGCGCCUUCGCGCGCACGACGACGUCAUCGUCGCCCAUCUAUGCCGUGACUAUGCGCGUAUCGUUCGCCUCAUGGUAGCCAUCCACUCCGCGCGCUCGACUAUGACGACAGCGUGAUGACACUCGCUCAUCGUGUGAUAACCUUAUUAUUUUCCGAUGAACUGCAGAAGAGUGCUACAGGAAGCGAGCGAACGAACGACCAUCGACCACGGAGACGCGCGCACUUCUCCGCGCGCGGGCCGCACCCUCGCCGGGUGGCCGCACAUGUCGUGUCGUCUCGCGCGCUCACCCUCCGCGCCGCCUUCGCACUCUCCCUCCUCUCGCGCGCGCGCUCGUCGCGUCGCCGCCACGCUCGGCGUUCGAGCGACCGCGUCGUCGUCCGGGGCUGAGAAGCAGCGAACGAUGGCGCCCCGGCCGUCGCCGUCGUCGAACGACCGCGACGACUCGGGCGCGUGGUGGACGCAGCGCGUCGUCACGCUGCGCCCCAAGUCGAACGGCAUCUUCAUAUGGACGAACAAGCUCCGCGACGAGGUCCCGGAGAUCCGCGACGCGAAGACCGGGGUGGUCAACCUCUUCGUUCGCUCCCAUUCCGCCGCGCUGACGAUCAACGAGGUGCGUUCUAUACACUGGUCCCCAUACGACCGCGUUGGCGUGGUGAACGCCGAUCCUCAAGGACUUUUGCCGUCGUCUCUCUCCGCCCACACCUCGGUUUCAAUCCCGACACACCUCGACGCCUUUCAACUCCAUCUGACGCCUUUGAACUCCACCCCGAUAUUCGCUCGUAUGGAACGACCCCGAGAACGCGGACCCGGACGUCCGCGACGACCUUCGACGCGCGCUGGACGCCAUCGUCCCAGGCGACGCGGACGCGGACGUCGCCGCGCGCGUCAGCUUCGUCGGGGUGUCGAUCGACGUCCCCGUGCACGACGGCCGGCUCGCGUUCGGGACGUGGCAGGGGCUGUACCUCGCGGAGUGGGGCGGCGGCGGCAGGGACGUUGAGGUGGUCGUCACGAUGCGUCGCGUCGACGACGCGAAGACGACGCGCGUCGCGACGGUCACCGCGCCGUCGCGCGGGUGCCACCUCGUCCAGGACCAGAUCGACGCCGCGAUCGCGCCGGCGCUGAAUCACGCGUCAGAAGAAGAAGCGAAGCGGUCAAAACGGUCGAUGACGGACGGUUACGGUCACGACGCGGCGUCGCCCCCCGCGCUCGUGAACCUUCUCGUGCGGCACACGUCGGCGUCGCUCACCGUCAACGAAAACGCGGACCCGUCCGUCCGCGUCGACAUGGAGGGCGCGCUGAACCGGAUCGUCCCGGAGUCGUGGAACGACGCGAUGUUUAAGCACGUGGACGAGGGCCCGGACGACAUGCCCGCGCACGUGAAGAGCACGCUGUUCGGCGCGUCCGUCACGGUGCCCGCGUCGGGACAUCGGCUGCGAUUGGGGACGUGGCAGGGCGUGUACCUCGCGGAGCAUCGAAACGUGGGCGGGUUCGGUGGCGGGCACGCGCGGGAGAUCGCGUGCUCGGUGACCGGCGGCGGCGCGCAGAGCGUCGUGACGCUGACCGCGCCGGGGAGAGGCGCGCACGACGUCACGGAGGCGAUCGCCGCGGGGUUGAAGGCGUUGCGGGCGGCGGGCGGGGUCGGGGGCGGGGUCGCCGCCGGGUGGUUGAACCUGUUCAUUCAGCACACGUCCGCGUCGUUGACGGUGUCGUCGCGCGCGACGGCGACGGCGCCGCGCGCGGCGGAGGCCGAGACCGAGGCCGCGGCGCGGCUCGAGAGCGCGCUGAGCGCGACGGUGCCGGAGCGAUGGAACGACGAGUUCUUCACGCACACGUACGAGGGCCCGGACGACAUGCCCGCGCACGUCAAGAGCAGCCUGAUGGGCGCGUCGCUGACCGUUCCGGUCGUGAACGGCGAGUUGGGUUUGGGGGUGUUACAGGGGGUGUUUCUGUGCGAGCACAGGGACGGCGGCGGGUUCGGGUGUAACUUGAAUCGCAGCGUCGUCCUCACGCUUCAGGGCGUCGACGAUCGAUGACGCCGAUUAGGUUGAAAUAAAAUAAGCGCACGGCGGAGGCGCUCGUCGCUCACUUCGCGCCGUAGCUCUCGUACAUGUCCUUCUUCCACACCUUCGGGCGCGGCGCGAAGUUCUUCACGUUCGGCUCGUACGUGCUGUCCGCGUCGUCGAGGCGGACUUCGUAGUUACUGCGAGACGAGACGACGACGGGCGCGGGGGUCGGUCGGUCGGUCGGUCGGGACGACGGGGAGGCGGAGCGUUUCCGUUUCGUUCGCGCGGGCGAGAGGUCGGUCGCUAUCGCGCGCGGGAGACGCGCGGGAGGGCGCGCACUCUUCCGUUCGCAAGUUGAUGCUGUUCCAGUUAUGGCUCGUCUUCGUCGCUUUGCACUGCGAUGCCGCGGCGGGGGAGGGGAAAGGGACGUCAGCGAUCGCUCGCGGAAGGCGAAUCGAUCGAUCGAACGAACGUUCGAUCGCGGGUUUUCGCACGCACUCGCUGCUCGUAGAUUUGGUCGUUGUACGACUUAAAGUUCUGAUCCCCUCGCGGCCCCCAGGCCAUCACGCUGGAGGGCUCGUACGGAACAUCGGGCGUGUGCGUGCCGUAAGUGGGCAUCUAGGCGCGCGGCUCAGUCUGCGCGUGCGGUCGCGAGUGCGCGCGAAUCGCUCGCGAACCUUGUCAUUUGGAUGUGCACCUGGAAAAAAAACGCUCUUCUCCUUCCUGUCUUUUUCGGGAGGCGACGAGUUUUACGAUUCUUGAACUACGCAUGAUACUACCGACUACCCGCUACGGCGCGUACGCCUGGGCUAACGUCUCGUCGUCUAAGCUAUCGCCCUCGGCGUAGUGCACCCGAAGUUGCUUCGGCGGCACGAGCGCGUCCUUAAUCGCGUCCUCCACCCCGCGCGCGUCGGCGCCCCACCCCCGGAGCCGAUCCCGCGUGGCGCGCCGCGCGUCAUCCGCCGCCCUUGCGCCGCCGCCGCCGUCUCCGGCCCAAAGCUCGCAGAACCUCGCGUCCUCCUCGCGCGGCCAGUCCGGAGGACACCUCUUCACGCCCACGACGACGGCGUUGCUCUCCUGCCCUUCCACGCUCACGAGCUGGACGUCGACGCGCGCGUCCUCGUCGCCGUCCUCAUCGCUCGAGCGCCGGCUGAGGUUUGCGUAGAAACGCUUCAGCGCCUCCGCCGCGGGGGACCCCGGCGGGCCGUUCCACGCGUUCGCGACGACGCACCCGCCGCGCCGCGUGAUCGCGCGCGUUGACUCGAGGAACGCGCGCGUCGUGAGAUGCGCGGGGACGUCGCCGUUGCCGUCGUACGCGUCGAGGAAAACGCAAUCGAAGUGGCGGUUUUUUUCCGCGCAUCGUCGCGCGUACGCCGCCGCGUCCGCGUGGACGACGCGAAACGUGGACGCGCUCUGCGCGCGGGUCCACUCGUCGUCGUCCUCGCCGCUGCCGUCCUCACCAGCGACCUCGAAGUUUAACCCCAAGACGUCCUUCGCGGCGGCGACGACGUCCUCGUCCACCUCCACCGCGAUCACGCGCGCUCGACCUGACGACGCUCUCUUCGCGAACGCCGCGAGCGUCCCCGCGCCCAAGCCGACGCACAGAACGCUACAACACUCGUCGUCGUCCGCGUCUACUUCGAGGCGGGUCAACCUGUCGCCGAUGACCGCGACCGCCGCGGUCGCCAUCGCGCGGACGUACUCGAACCCGAUCACGGUCGGAUCGUGGACAAAGUUUUCGUCUUUAUCCUCGGCGUCGCAGUACGCCAAGCCCUGCUCGACGCCGUCCAAGUACAACGCGCGCCACGGGCCGUGCUGCUUCACGGUCACGACGCCGACGCCGGCGGCGUCGCGCGUCGACGCGAACACCGUCUUCGGCGGCGUGUGCGCGAGGUGGUAGUAAUACCCCGCCUCCGUGCGAGGGUCGACGCGCCAGCCCCCGACGUAAUCCGGCGGCUGCGUCACCUCCGCGCCCGCGGGAAGGUCUCGCUCCGCGACGAGCGCGAAACACGCGCCGAAGGUUGGGUGCUCGAACGGCUCCCUCCGGCAGCUCCACCGCUCGCGAACGACGACGCGAGCGCGGAAGCCUCGCGUCUCGAACCCCGGGAUUCGCUUGUCGUUCUCGCGCAGAAACAAGCCGCGGACCGGCUCGCCCCUCUCGGGGUCCCGCCCGACCGCCGCGGUCGUUCGCUUCUCCGGGUCGUCGCGCAGGAACAGAAGCUUCUCGCCGUCGAUUCGGCCGUUCGGACGCCACCGCUCGCGCUCGCGCGGCUCGGCGUAUUCGCGCGCGCGAUCGCGCCCGUCGGGGUCGACGACGAAGCCGACGAUCUCGUUCUCGACGACGUCGCCCGUCGUCCACGCGCCGUCGUCGUCCACGCGCAUGAUCCCGCGGUCGGGGUCGUAACGACGUACGCCGGAGCGUUUUUCUUCUUCUUCUUCAUCACGGUCUUCAUCACGGCGUGUUUCACGACUCCUCGACAGACCCGCGACGCCGUACACCUCGGGCCAGACGUACUCGAAGACGUCUCCGAUCGCGCCGCCGGGCGCGUCGCCCUCGCGCCACGUCCCGCGGAGCACGCCGCCGUCCGCUCUCCACUCGACCCCGUCGCCGUGUCGGACGCCGCCCUCGUACGCGCCUCGGAACCGCACCGCGCCGCCGGGGUGGUACUCCGUGACCUCGCCGCCGUCGAGAAGGACGCCGCGGGCGUACCGUCCCUCGAGCCAGGAGCCGUCGACGUCGUGGUACGUCGCGCGUCCUUCCACGGCGUCGUCUCUGAACGUGCCCUUUAUGUACGCGCGCGAUCGCGGGAAGAGAAGGCGGUCGUCCCCGUCCCCGUCGUCGUCGUCGUCGUCGUCCGAGUCCGGGGGAAAGUGCAGCGUCCCUCUCCCGUGCUUCGCGCCGUGCUCGAACCGGCCUUGGUACCAGGCGCCGUCCUCGUCGAGGCGCAGCCGCCCGCGCCCGUGCGGCUUUCCGUCGGCGUCGACGGGUCCUUCGUACCAGUUCGGCACGCGCCACGGCGACGCCGGCGGGUCCGACGCCGAGCCGGACGCCGACGACGUCGAGUCGCUCGCGGCGUCGUCGUCGGCAUCGUCGUCGUCGUCGCGACCGCGCUUCGCGCGCGGCGGCGCGGACGCCAUGCGCGCCGCGACGCGGAGUGAUGAGAGAUCGGAAUCUAACAUCCCGAUUGACACGCGCCACUCGCGCUACGGUCGGUCAACCACCUCGGUCAACCGCGGCUCGCGGCGAUUUUCAACGCCUUCGCCUCGCCGAGCUUCGACCUCGCCCCCCCCUCACUCGUGCAGCGCGCACGCGCGAACGCGAAGGGCACCGGCGAGGUCGAGCCGCGUCCCUGACCUCCCCCGCGGCGGUAUCGCGCCGGGGUGCGCGCGCGCACCCCGCGCGAGCGCGUUUCGGCGAGGGAUAAAACCGACGCCGCGGAAAUCCCAUCCGAUCUUCGCCCAUCCUAACGGUUCGAUUGCUCGAGCGACGCGAUGGGACGAGGCGGCGCGGGCGCGCGCAAGGUCCGGCCGGAGGGCCAGCCCAUGAGGGCGGUCGUGCAGCUCUUGACGACCGGGCAGGGCAAAGGCGCGUCUCGAAGAUCGUCCCGAACCCCCGACCCCCCCGCGGCGAGCGGUCAACCCCCCCGCGUCGUCGAACGCCCCGCGGUUCCGAUGAUUAAUCUACAUCUCAUCGUCGUCUUCGACCUUCUCGCGCCUUCGCCAGCCGCCCCCGUCCACCGCCUCAUCAUCGAUACGAUACCUCGUCCCCGUCUCCGUCUUGUCGUCCGUCUCGUCGACCAGGCUCGCGACGCGACGUCAGCGUCGCGUCCCGCCACGUCUCGCUCAUCCGCCCCGGCGCGUCCGAGGCUGCGAGCGACGACACGUACGAGGUGGACGAUUGCUUCGGAAGCGAGCUCGGCACCGCGGAGACGUACAAGCGCGUGCUGCACCCGGUCGUGCGACAGGGCGUGGACGGGUUCAACGCCGCGCUCCUGACGAUCGGAUGCUCUGGGACCGGGAAGAGCACGCUGCUUCACGGCAGAACCGGCGGCGAGGGAUGCGUGCGGCUGGCCAUUAAAGGCGUGUUCGAGGUGCGUUCUAUGCACUGGUCCCCAUACGACCCCGUCCGCGUGGUGAACGCCGAUCCUUAAGGACUUUGCCCGUCACAUCUCUCCGCCCACCCCUCGCUUUCAAUCCCCGCCCUCGACGCCUUUCAACUCCAACUGACGCCUUUGAACUCCACCCCGACUUCGCUUUGUAUGGAACGGCCCCGAGGCGCUGCACAAUAAAGCCGCGCAGGUGGGAGUGGCGUUGUCGCAACAGAAGCAGAGCGGCGGCGGCGGCGGCGCGAUGGAGUUCGCCGUCGACGCGAGCUUCGUCGAGAUCUACGAGGAGCGGUGCCGGGAUCUGUUCACCGCGUCGAAGACGGGCGGCGUCCAGGAUAAGGCGGCGUUCUUGGAGGUUGAAGAGUCGUCGGACGACGGAUGGCACGUGGCCGGAUUGUCGUUUCGAUCCGCGCCCGACGCGUCGUCGCUGCAGACGGCGUACCAAAACGCGCUCGCGAACCGAAGCACGGGUCUCUCCGAGUUCGGGCACAGCAAAGCGGACCGAAGCGCGUGCAUCCUGACGCUACGUAUAUCGCAGUACAUCCCCGCGAUUCGAGGCGGCGCCACGGCGGCGGAUCGCGAUAAGAUGACUCCGGCGCAACACCUCGUGAGCACGAUCACGAUCGCGGAUAACCCGGGCGCGGAGCCGCUCGCGAUGGACCCCGCGGUGCUGCGGUUGAGAGAGGGCGCGCGUCUGAACCGCGCGGUGACGUCCCUCGCGGGCGUGAUUCGCGCGCUCGCGACGAAUCGACGCGAUUUCGCCGGGCACGGCGACUCAGUGUUGACCAAGGUGCUCGCGGAGCCGCUCGGGGGGAACUGCGCGACGACGAUCUUGGGGACGUUACGUCUCGGGGAGUGGGAGCGGUCCGCCGCGGUGAUGGAUCUGAUCGAUCACGCGCGCAGGGCGCCGUGCUUCCCCGUCGUCGCGGACGACGCCGCGCGAGGACUCCAGCAGAGGCUGCGGUCGCGGCUGUUGCAGAUCAACGACGCGAGAGAGACGUACCGGGAGCAGAUACAGAGCACGGGCGCGGACGGGAUCGACCCGCAUAACGUCGGUCUGCAGAUGGCGAAACUGCACGAGCUCGAGGAGCGUCUGAUCGACGAGCGCGGGGACAAAGCGGAGCUCUUAGCGGAGAAGGAAGCCCUCUUGGAGCGUCUUCAGAGGCUGAACGGGAUGGACAAGCAGUUUUUGGCGGAGAAAGAAGAGCUUCAGGCGGCGUUGAUACGCUCGGAGGAAGACCGGCUCGAGAUCGCGCGCGCGCUCGUGGAGGUGCAGCUCGAAGGCAACGAAGCCGCGCUCGAGGCGGAGAAGGUGCGCCACGAGCUCAUCGAGCGCGUGCACGAGCUCGAAGCCAGGGCGAUCGCGUCGGAGGUUCGCGUCAAGGGCGCGGAGCAAGCGCGCGGGGAAAUCAUGCAAAAAGCCGGGUCGCUCAACGUGGACAACGAACGUCUGAAAGAGAGCCUGGAACAGAUGCGCAUGGAGCUCGAGGCGGAGCUGUCUACGCUGCGAAGCGAGCACGCGGACGUCAUGGGCGAGGUUGGGGGCCUGAAGGCUCGAAACGAAGAUCUCGAACGCGACGCCGCGGACCUUCGCAAGCGGCUCACCACGGAAGUUCGAAGAGCCGAGGAAGCGGAGGAAGAGCGCGACGUUCUGCGCGUCAACGCGGAGAAGGACAGCACGAUGCUGCAUCGCAAGGUUGAAGCCGCGGAGAGAGCCGCGGAGGAGGCGAUCGCGACCGCGGAGGCGACGAAGAAGAGGCUCGUCGCCGCCGCCGAGGCGGAGCGCGACGAAGCCGUCGCCGCGGUGAAAUUCGGAAAGGAUAAAGCCAUCGCGCAGGCGGAGGAGGAGAGAGACGCGGAGAUCGCCAAGGCGAAGAAGUUUAGGGACGACGCCGUGGAGGAGAUUCGUCUGGAGAAGGAGGCAAUGAUCUCCGCGAUGAAGAAGGAGCAAGCGGAGGCUAUCGCGGACGCGAGGAAAGAACGCGACGAGACGACGGCGUAUCUCGAGUCGGAUCGCGACACGAAAGUCUCGAAAGCGCUCGCGGAGAAGGAGCGCGAGGUGUCGAAAGCGCUUCGGGAGAAAGAAGCCGCGGUCGCGGCGGCGGAGCACCGCAUGCAAGAGGCGAUCGACGAGGCGAACGAGCGCGUGCAAAAGGCGAUGGACUCCGAGAGAGACGCGCGGUCGAAAAUCGGAGACGUGAAGAAGGCGCUCGAGGCGUCCGAGUCGAACGAACGCCGCGCGCGCGGCGAGGCGGACCGCGCGCUGUCCGAGAUUUCCAUCCUGAAAGAACGCCUCGAGACGUCGCGCGCGCAGUACACGGAGCGCCUCAAGGAGUACAUCCUUCAAGUCGGCGACUUGGAACGAGGCGCGCAGGUGCUCGGCGCGGGGGGCGGGCAGACGAGCGACCACGUGUUACGCCCGAGCCACCUCUACGAAGCCGCGCAAGCGCUCGCGGUCGACUUGCACAAGGCGUCGUCCGAGCAAGUCGCGGACUACAGAAGGCACACGGAGGAGCUCCAGGCGAAGCUCACGAAAGCUCAGCGCGAUUCGAGGGCGUUGCACGCGGGAUACCGAGCGCUGCGGCAUCGCUUCGAGGACCUCUCCCCCGUGGACGUCGGCGAGGGCGUCGUCGAGAUGCAGCACGUCCCGCACGAGGACCAGUUGUGCAUGGACGGCGUCCCGCCGACGCCCGCGGAGGCGCAGGACAUCGACGCGCGCGGCCUCGCGGCGAAGCUCGCGGAUUUGAGGGAGGAAAACGCGCGGCUGAACCAGGCUGUGCGCCUCGCCGCGCUCGACGGCCGCGGCCCGCUCGCGCCGAGCGUGAAGAAGGCGGCGCAGGACACGGACGCGGGGAACGACAUCUUGUUCUUCGACGCGGACGCGACCAAGCCGGACAAGACGAGAGGAAGAGUAGAUUCCUUCAACGACCGCGGCGGAGGGAACAGCGCGGACGGUCGGCAUCACGUCCCGUUGGACAACGAAAACGCGCGCCUCCGCGCGGAGAAUCACAAGCUCUCGCAGAUGCUCGACGGAUUGAAACAAAAGCGACCGGGCACGGGCGAGGAGGAGCUACGACGCGAGAACGCGAAGCUCAAGGUGCAGCUCACGACGAUGGGCAACAUGGACAAAUCGCGCGCGCAGCUCGCGCAGGAGAUUGGCGAUCUGAAGGACCAGCUCGCGCAACUGGAGGCGGCGCAAGCGCGCGGGGGGAACAACCGAACGAACUGGCAAGAGCAGAGAAACGCCAUCAAGGAGUUCACGGAUAAAGUUCAGGCGGACCUCGAACGCGAGAACCGCCAGCUCGCGACGAGAGCGGCGAUGGCGGAGGAGCAGAUCAAAGAGAUCAACGCGUACAUGGCGCAGAGUACUCUGGCGUAUCAAAAGGAAAUCAUGCGGCUGCGGAGCAUCAUCCAGGCGACGGCGCCGGAGCGGUUGAGGACGCCGCUGGGCGGGGCGUUGAAGCCGGGGCAACACGUCGGCGGCGGCGAAGGGUUCGGCGGCGGCGGCGGCGGCGGCGGCGGCGGCGGGUUGGGACCGAAGCCGCCGAGCCAGGCGCCGAGCCAGAGCACGAGCAGACGGUCGUCGCCGAUGACGGAUGCCAACGGAAGAGAGCGGUCCGCGUCGAGAAGGGACAAGUUCGGUCUUUGAUAUGUAUAACUUAUAUAACUUAGUCCUAUCAUACCUUCUCAGCCGACUCGUGACUCUGCAGACUCUGCGCGGCGCCUUUCCGUUCGCCCUCGUCGCUCGACCGAGGCGGCGCGAUCAAGGGUCCGGGUUGAACGAGAACUUUCUCCCCUUGUUCCCUCUCACGAUCUCCGCCAAACCCGCGGGGAUGUCCUUCUCCGUCAACGCCACGCUCCCGCCAUGAAUUUCAAAAUUCGUCAGCCGCUUGCAGUUCACGAGCGAAGCCGGCAGCAUCGUCAGCUUCGUGCCGCAGAAGAUGAAGUCGUACAGCGACUCGCACUGACCGAGCGUCUCCGGUAACGUCGCGAUCGGACAGUCGUACAUACACAGAUGCGACAGACGUUUAAGCUUACCGAUCUCGUCCGGAAGCUCCUCGCACUCGCCGCGCUGGAGAGUAAUCACGCUCAAGUUCUCGCACUCGCACAGGCACGCCGGGAACUUUUUGAGACGCGUGUGCGGCUGAAGGUACUUCUCGAGUUUCUUCAGAUUCGCGAACGACUCCGGGAUGGAGUCGACCACGCUGGGUACACCGAUCUCUCUCAGCGAGCGCAUCUCUCCCAUCCCAGCCGGGAGCGACGUGAGAUCGUCGUUCCCGCUCAUGUAAAUGCCCGUGAGCUCGACGCACCCUCCGAGCUCGUCGGGGAGUUCGGUGAGUUUGUUACUGUCCAACUUCAGAACGCGCAGCUCGGUCAGGUUCCCGAUAGCCGCGGGGAGCGUUUUGAGUUUGUUGGUCUGCACUCUGAGAUCGCGAAGCUCGGCGAGGUCGCCGAGCUCGGCCGGGAGCUCCGUGAGCUUGUUGUUGUUCAGCUCGAGGAUCCGCAGCGUGUCGAGUUUGAACACGACGUCCGGUAUCUUCGUCAAUCCGUUGGAGUCGUACUUCAAGUGCUCGAGCGACGACAGUCCGACGAACUCGUCCGGCAGCGUUUUUAUCUUGUUAUCCUGGAUCUCAAGCUUUUUCAGCGUGUCGAUCUUACCGAGCUCCGCGGGUAAGCUCGUGAGCUUGUUGUUUCCGAGAAACAACUCUCGAAGGCAAUCGAGUCGCGAGAUAUUCGGAGAGAUCGACGUGAGCUUAUUCGCGGCGAGACGCAGCCGGUCCAGGUUUUCGAGGCCGAAGAUGCUCUCGGGGACGACGGUGAACUUGUUCACUUCGAGGUCCAGCGUGGUGAGCGUCGCGACGGAAGUCAGCGAUUUCGGGAACGUCUCCUCGCUCACCUUGCAGUUUUUUAUCGUGAACGUCUUCACCUGCGGGAGGUGCCCGAACUCCUCCGGGAUCGCGGAGAGAGGCGGGUUAUCGUAGACGUAGAAGUCGACGAUUUUCUGGCACCGCGCGAUCUCGGCCGGCAGUCUCUCGAUCUUGUUCCCUUGCACGUAGAAGUCGACGAUCUCGGUUAAAAAGCCAAUCUCCGGAGGAAGCUCGAGGGCCAGCCCCAUCGCGCCGAGGUCGAACUUCGUGACCCGAUCGCCGUCCCACUUCAGUCCUUUCCAGUCGUUCUUCGGGUCGCCCCUCUCCGGCCACCUCGACUCGAGCUGCGGGUUCCUCGCUCGGACGAGCCGAACGACGGCUUCGUCCGAGAUGAAUUGCGGCAUCGGCGGCAGCGGCGGCGGGGGGAUGAACACCCACGUCGCCCCGGGCUGCAUGACGGGGUAGAACGUCGGUUGCGGCUGCGGCGGCGGCGGCGGAUGCGGUUGAUGCUGCACGACGUACAUCUGCGCGGAGAAGGGAAUCAAAUCAGUCGGUCGAACAAAUGUUGUUACGAUCGUCGUCGCCUCCGCGAUCGUGGUGGGAUCGGAACGAUGGACGACGACGCGAGUCGGACGGGAAGACGCCGCGAGGCGGGCGUCGACGGUACCUGCUGCUGUUGCGGCGGCGGCUCCGGUUCGAAGCGACGCACCCUGCGCGACGAGAUCCGGGGGGAGCGCGGUGAAGUCGUCAGUCGCGGGAUCGCGGGAGCGUCCGACGCGAAUUGGAUCGUGGUUCGGACGGCGUGGCGUUGGGAAUUACGACGCGCGGGACGACGCGAGCGGGCGGGCGUCGACGACGCGACGGUUGGAAUCGAUGAGGCGCGCGAGCGAACGCGCACCCAUGACGAACGCGCGCUACUCUCUCGAGCUCUACGGCGACGAUACGACGGCACGAGGCCGCGCGGUCUCGUGUGCGUCGGAAUCGAUCGUUUACUGUACACUAGUGUCACGAACACUCCGGAUUUCGCGUUCGCAACCUGACAGACCUACCUGACAGAAUCGCCGUGAUCAGUUUUCUAUGAUACGUCUAGUUGUAUAUUUCGUUCGCGGGUGAUGUCUACUCCACCCCCCUCGUCUCGUCUUCUACGAAACCUUCACCGCCUCGGCGACGUCCUUCGCGAUCUGCGCUUGCGCCUUUCCGAGGUGCUCUAAGAUCGCGAUCUGCGUCUUCUGCUGGAAGUCGUUAUCGCUCAGCGUCAUCUUCGCGAGCGACGUGCCGACGUCUGCGAUCUCCUUCGCGAGCGCCUUCACCCUCGACUCGAUCGCGUCCGCGCGCGCGGCGUGCGUCCCCACCCCCGCGACGCCGGACGUCCCGAACGCCUCGCGCAUCUCCUCUCGAAACGCUUCGACGCCCUUCGCGAUCGACGCCGCCGCGUCCUCGGCCAACGAAGCCGCGGCGUGGACGCUCGCCGCCGCGGAUGCGUGCCGGUCCCCUCCUCCUCCGCCAGCCGCUCCGCCCGGGUAAAAUCCAGCGAUCGCGGCGCCUCUGCCGCCUUUGCCGCCGGCGUACAUCGGGAGGCACUCGCCGGGUUCUGGCUUCCGCGUGGAGAAUUUUAACCCGGGGAAAAUCACGCCCUCGCCGCUGAGGUUGCUCACGGGCUGGCCCGUGAGCUUCGCGUCGAAUUUUUGGUGCAUCUUCCAAAGCGAGCUCCCUUGCCGGUGAUGUAACACGUCGAUCGCGCGAGCGACGUAAUUCUCCGGGUCGAACUUGCGCAUUUUCUUGCUGAACACCCCGGUGACCCUGCUCUCGAUCGCGGACGCCUGGACCUCGAUGCGCUCGCGCCGAGCUCGAAACAGACGCUGAAUGAACUUCGCCGCGAUGACGACCUCUUGAAACCUCUUGUAGCUCUUCUUCUCCCACGGACGCAGCCCCGCGCCGUCGACGCCGUACAACGUGCGGAGCUUCACGAGGAAAAACGCCGGGCGCUCGUCCAUCGAGUCGUGGAACUCCGCGUCCACGCCGCGGUCCCUGAGCGCCCGGUACGCCUUCGUGUACGCCAUGAUCUCGUCGUUGAAGAUUCGUUUCAAGGACAGAACUCUGAAGUGUUUAUUCUGAUCUGGGAAGUAAUUCAGCGCCGUGACGAGGACGUCGCGGUCGAACGAGUACAGAUCCACGAACGUCACGCUGUGCGCGCUGUACGCCACCUUGCCCUCUUUGUACAGGCACUCGUCGCAAAACACGGACCCGGUGGUCAUGAUCUUCGACCGCGCGAUCGCGACGCCCUUUCGGACCAUGAACAUCCGGUCGCAAAAGUCUCCGGGGACGAUGAUCUUUUCCUGCGGCGGAUACGUCGUCUCUCUCACCUUGAGCGUCAGCGCGAUGAUGAGCCCCUCGGGGCAUUUCUGGAAGAACGGCACUUUCGCGAUCCACGUGUUCGUCUGCAGAGUGAUCUCUGCGCGCAGUGCCGGGGACAUAGCGUCCAACAGCUUCGACUGCUCCAGAACGCUGUCGCGCGAGAGCUUGUACUUGAAGUACUCGCGCAUGCGAAUCCGCAGCCCCGUCUUGAUCUUCGCCUCCUCGAAGAACGAGUUCAGCGUGUUCAUGAGCUCGUAGAACUUGCCCUUCUUUUCCCCUCUCAGACGAAUCGCGUUUCCGACCGCGCCGAUGAUGUAUCCGUAUAUAAACGCCCCCAGCAACAUCGCGACGAUGACGAAGACCCUCUCCGUCGUCGUGCUCGGGACGAUGUCGCCGUACCCGAUCGUCGUCAUCGUCAUCGCCGCCCAGUAAAACGCGGCGACGUACAGGUCUCCGUACGUCACGAUGCCGCUCGGGUCUUCCCCCCGCGCCAACUUGCCGGAGACGAGGUACUUCCGGAACGUCGUGUAAUGCAGCCACGACGUCUCGCUGUCUUCGAUGUCCGCCACCAUGCCGAACGCGCAGCCCAUCCAGUGCGACGACAUGCACGCGAGCAGCGCGAAUUUGAACAUGUCCAGCGCGGUGUAGUCGAUGUUGAAGUGCACCUCCAUGCGCGCGAACACUCGGCCGCUUCGCAACAUUCUGAGCAAUUUCAUGAGCCUGAGCAGACGCAGGACGCGAAACACCUUCAGACUCCCCAGCGAGCUGUUGUCCGUCAGCAGCGAUAUCAAGUCGUACGGCAUCACGGAGACGACGUCUACGGUGAACCAACCUCUGAGGUAGUGGCGCGCGAUGGUCGGCUGGUGGAAGAUCAGCUGCCCGUUGACCGGAUCCGGGAUGGCGACGUGAAAGUUUAAGACGAUGUCGGCGAGGAAGUUCAAGUCCACGACGCGGUUGAUGAAGAACAGCGCGUUGAUUUUGGUCGUCAUGAACGCCACCUCCACGGGCGUUACCAGCGCGGUGAAGACGAGCAGGAAUAUCAUCACGAAGUCCCACUUUCGCAUGAACCACCCGCGCGGGGAGAUGACGCGUUUCGAGUGCGGCAGGAACAGCUUCGCCAUCCUCGCCGCGACCGCCAACUCGCUCACCAUCGCGAAGUCGACGCGGUUGUGCUCCGGCUUUCGACGCUCGUCGCGCCGCGCCUUGGCGUCUCUCCCCUGAUCCACGCGUUCCGCGUCGUUGAGGUCGCGGACGACGUCUUCGUUCGCGUGGUAUUUCGACGCGCGCUCGCGAUCCGUCAGCCUCCGCGCGUCGCCGCGACCCGCGUCUUGGAUCCAGUUGUCGCUGUCGUACCCGACGCUGCUCUCGGUAUCGUCGUCGCGGUCGUUCGCGCGCUCGAUCUCGCUGAACCCGCCUCUGCUUCGAAGAGGCGGCUGCCGAUUCUCCCCGAACCUCGGCAUCUCUGUUGUAGUUGGCGACGCGGGCGAUUCAGAUUAUUCGCGGUCUUCUCCCUGCUCUAAUGCGCGCGUCGACGUCGACGUUCACGGAAUCAGCACAUUCGCGCGCGUCGCGCGAGGCUCCGACGGCGUCGCGUGAGCGAGCGCACGCGCGUCGCGCGUGGAGAAGAUGACGCCGUGCUCCUCCGCGCGCGUGUUUGUGCGCGCCGCCCUGUCUACAUCUCCGGUGUCAAAUGCACCGCGUCGCAAACGGCCAAAAUCCAGAGAUCCUCUCCAGCGCGAGCUCGGUCGAGUCAGCACUCGUCCUCCGCGCGCGUCCGUCGCCGUCAUGACGACGCCGACACCCCCCGCGCGCGUCUGUCGCGCGCGCGUCGUCGUCAAUACCACGACGACGCCGUCCACGGCGUCGCGCGCGUCGCGGCCGUCGCGAAUGACGCCCGCGCGCGUCGCUCCCGCGCCGUUCGGAACCCUCCACGUCGGAGGCCGCGAGAGCGUCGUCGUCGUCCCGAUCCCGCGACGUCUCCGCGACGAGAAGGGCGUCGCCGCGCGGUCCUCCCCGGUCGACCUCGACCGCGGCGACUCGAGCGACGGCGCGGGCGCGGGGAACGACAACCCGGACGCCCGGUGCCCCGUGUGCAAGGGCACGGGGUGGAAGCCGUGCGGGCAGUGCGACGGCACGGGCGUGAACCAGGAGGACCUGUACGGCGGCAAGCCGGGGAUGCGAAAGGGCGAGCGCUGUUGGCUCUGCGAAGGCAAGAAGCGGACGAUGUGCGGCAACUGCGUGGACCUCACGGACGCGUUCUAGCGUGCUUAUCAGUCAGUAGUACUAAUCGCUAUCGCGGCAUCGCAGCGGCGUCCUCUGACAUACGGCGCGCGCGCGUCCCUAACCUUACGACGUCAGGUCGUCGGCUCGAGCGCGACGACGGUGUGCCACCACCCGCACGACACCUUCACCGGUCGCCACUUCGCGUCGUCCGAAUCCCCCGCGCCUCCCCGCGUCGGCUUCUUCUUCGUCGUCGCCGCCCCCGCCGGCGUCGACGUCGACGUCGGCGGCACCCUGAGCAGCUCCUCCCGCGUCGUCGCCGACGCCGACGCCGACGCCGCCUCCGCGCCCUCGCCCGCGCCCGCGCGAUGGAGGUUCACCUUCAGCUUCGCCUCCCUCGCCUCCCGCUCCGCCUUCUCCCGCGCGUCCUUCUUCGCUCGGUACGCCUCCCUCCUCGCGACCGCGGCGGCGCGGACCAACCGCGCGUCCGGCACCCCCGUCUGCGCGUUCUCCUCCAUGACGAGCUGGAGCAGCUUGUCCGUCUCGUCCGCCGCGGGCUCGCUGAGGGUCGACGGUCCGCACGAGCGAUGAUAUCGGGGUGGAGUUGAAAGGCGUCGGUCGGAGUUGAAAGGCGUCGAGGUGUGUCGGGAUUGAAACCGAGGGACCCUGGGCGGAGAGAAUCGCCGGCGAAAGUCCUUAAGGAUCGGCGUUCACCACGCGAACGCGGUCGUACGGGGACCAGUGUGAACCAGGACGCGCCUGAUCUUCACCGGGUACGGAACGUCCAGGUGAUCCCUCGUGCCGCACUGCCCGUGCGCGUUCCAUCCCCACGCGUAGACGGCGCGACGCGACGUGCGCUCGUCCUCGACGACGACCGCGGUGUGUCGCGACCCGCACGACAGCGAUAUCACCGCGGGGGACGUCGACGGAGGGCGCUUGCGCUUCUUAUCCGCGCGGUACCGAGGCGUGAGGAGGAGCUCGUUCCGGGGAGUAAACUCGGGUCCGUAGUCGACGUCGUCGACGUCGUCGUCGUCGUCGGCCGCCGCCGGACGGAUCUCGCCGACGUCCGGGUCGAGGUCGGCGUCGGGGUCGACACCCUCCUCGUCCGACUCUUCGUCAUCGUCGUCGUCGUCGUCGUCGUCGUAAAACUCCACCAGCAGCGGCGCGCCGCACGUUCGCCCGACUUCGCACGUCGUCUGCACCUCGGCGUCUCGAUCGUCUUUCUCCCCGUCCAAACCUCGCCACACCCCGAGCUGCCCGUCGCGGUUGGACCCGAACGCGUAGCACGCGCCGCCGUGCUCCGCGCUCGUCGCGACGACGCUGUGCUCCUUCCCCGCCGCCGCGAGCGCGCACGGGAUCCCCAUGAGCGACUCCACGUGCGUCGGGAGGUACCGGUUUUCCGCGUCGUCGUGCCCGAGCUGAGGGUCGAGGGUCGAGGGUCCGCGCGAAGCGACGAACGUCGGGGUGGGGGGAGUCGAAAGGCGUCAGAAGCGGAGUUGAAAGGCCUUCGUCGCGGUGUGUCGGGAUUGAAACCGAGGGACCCUGGGCGGAGAGAGACGACACGACGGGAAAAGUCCUCGAGGAUCUGAUCGACGCGCGCCGCGCGAACGCGGUCGCGCGGGGACCGGCGUAGUGUACGGGACGCGCCUGCCCGUAGAGCCCCCAGCCGAACGUCCACACCACGCCGUCCGCGUCGAGCGCGAUCGAGUGCCGCGCGCCCGCGGCGACGCGCGCGGCCGCGCGGCCGACGGUCCCGGGCGGCGGCGGCGGCGGCGGCGUCUCCCCCGGCGCGAGGCGCGGGCGGAUGACGAGAGAAAUCUCCGCGGGCGCGUCGGACGACUUCGGGUGCGCGCGAACGCCCUCCUUAUCCUCGAUCGCGUUCGUCCCCGUCGCGCCGAGACCGAGCUGCCCGUCCGCGUUAUCGCCCCACCCGAACAUCCUCCCCUCGGUCGUCACCGCGAGAGUGUGCCGCUCGCCGCACGCGAGCGACGUCACCUUGCGCGGCAUCGGCCACGGCGGAUCCGCUGGCGCUUGGCCUUUCCCGUUCCACCCGACGCAUUUCGCGACAAACUCGGGCGCGACGGCGACGACGGCGUGCGCCCACCCUGCGGCGGCGACGCGCGGCACCGCCUGCGAGCGUAUCACGGCGCUGGCGCCGCUCGCGGAGGAUAACGCGGAAGCGGCGUCGGCGUCGAGGUCGUCGUUCGCGAGCAGGAGCUUCGGGACGCCGUCGUCGCGCCAGAUGGCGUCGACGACGAUCGGUUCAUCGUUCAUCGGAUCCUCCGCCGCCUCCGCCUUCGGAUCCUUCGCUUCGUCGCGCGGCUUCUCCCAGUACUCCUCGCGCUCGUCGAACCCGGGGAAGUAGUCCUGGUUGUCCCCCCACGCGUACAGAUCCCCGCGCGCGUCCGUGGCCAACACGAAGCCGUACCCGCCGCCGUGGACGUCAUCGAUGGCGAGCGGGCCCGUCGUCGUGGCGCUCGCGACGUCGCAAUCGCCUCGCAGCCGCUGCCACGCGCACUGCGUGAGCUCGUCGCUGCGCUCGUACCAGGACUCUUCUCCAUCGCCGAGGAGGCCGCAGCGCGCGGGGAUGUACCCGCACUGCAGCCAUCGCAGUUCGCCGCCGCCGCGGGUUCUCUCCGCCGCCAUCGCGCGAAGCGCGCGCGCGCGGCGCUGUCCGAGGAAUCAUGCUGUGAGUGACGAAACGCCGGUCGAGUCGGUCGGCGCGGCGCGGCGCGGCGGUCGUCGAGACAGGAAGUGUCCGACCGCCGAUAAUAAAAACCCGUCGCGUCGACCGUCGGUUCGAUAAUCACCGGUCGCGCACCGCACGCGCGCGAUGGCGAGCAUCCCGGAGACCGCGGCCGCGAGGAAGGCGCUCAAGGUGUCGGACAUCCGCGCCAUCUUGGACGCCGUCGGCGUCGAUUCGUCCGGGACCAAGCCGGUGCUCCUGGGGAAACUCGAGGACGUGCGUCGAAUAAUUAUAAUUAAUUCUUCCUCGCCGCGCGCGCGCGAUCCGAUCGAACCUCCCCGAAGAACGAAUCCUCGCGGGCUCGCCGUCCGCUCUGUGCGACGCCUCGAUCUGACCGUCCCGGUCCCGUUUCCCCUCUCACACGCAGCACGUCGCGAAGCAAACGUCCGAAGCCGCGCCCGCGGCGGACGCGGACGCGGCCGAGCCUCAGCCUCCCGCCGCGGACGCCGAGCCCCCCGCCGCGCCGUCCCCCGAACCCGCGCCAGCAGAGGCGAUUUCGGAGGCGAAUCCGCCGCCGCCCACGUCCGCGCGCGCGCGCGAGCCCGCGCCCGAGCCGGCGACGUGGGAGGUGGACCGAGGGAGCCCGGUCCCGCCGAGAAUGGACGUCCCGCCGCCGGUGGACGUCCCGCCGCCGGUGGAGGUCCCGCCGCCGCCCGCGCCCGCGCCCCUGAUGCCACCCGCGACGGGCGACGACGACGCGACGUGGGAAGAGAUGGGCGAGUGCAAGAUUAUCGUCGCGAACCUCCCACCCGACGCCACGGACCUCUCCCUCGCGACGAUGAUCGCCCCCGCGGCGCCGGACGCGACCGCGGUGAAGGUCCUCCGAGCGGCGGACGGCACGUCUCGCCGCACGGCGACGGUCGUCUUCGCGUCAGAGCGCGCGGCGAGGCGCGCCGUGAUCGCCGUCGACGCCGGCGCCGCGGGCGCCGGCGUCGCGGCGGAGCAUCACCGAGAGGUGGCGUGGCCGAGCGACGAGGACGACUGCGACGUCGCGAAGACGACGAUAUACGUCGCGAACGUCCCGACGUCGAUCCCCAACGAGGCCGUCGCGCAGGUUAUGGGCACGUACGGCGGCGUCGCGAGGGUGUGGAGAAACGUCGAGCCCGCCGCCGUCGGCGCCGGGGGCGACAAGCCAAUCGUCGGCGUGACGAUGACGUCGAGAGACGCCGCGGAGACGUGCGCGGCGGCGCUGUCGGGGGUGUACAAGUUCGAGGAGUCGCAGCCGCACACGGUGCGCGUGACGUGGUGCGAUCCCUCGGGCGAGCGCGCGCUCCCGGCCGCGGGCGGCGGCGGCGGCGUCGGGGAGAAGAGGAAGCGGGAAGUGGAGGACGGGGCCCAGGACGGAGGCGACGCCCUCUCGCGGCAGGCGCUGAUGUGCGGGCUCCCGCCGACGGCGACGGAGUCUGACCUCGCGACGUACUUCGCGGCCGACGGCGACGACGCGCCGUGUAAGAUCGUCUUCCUGGUGCCGCUUCGCGCGGCGUUUUUGACGUACGCGACCCCGGAGGCGGCAGCGAGGGCGGUCGCGACGCACAGCGGGACGCUGCGGCCGCCGGGGACGGCGGUGCCGGUGACGUUGCGACGAGCGUCGACGGACAUCACGCGGCGGCCCAAGACGCGCGCGGGGGGCGGCGGCGACGGCGACGGCGGCGGGCUGGGCGGGCCUGGGCCGGGCGGGACGUGGCCGUCCGUCCCGAAGCCCGGGCCGCAGUACGGCGAGCCGUCGCCGAAGCUGUACAUCGGGUCCAUACCCGCGCAGUUCGAGGAGGCGCACGUGAUGGCCAUCUUCAGCACCGUGGGGGCGGUGAAGGAGUUGAAAAUUUUACGGCAACACGACGGCCGGCACAAGGGCAGCGGGUUCGUGACGUACCACGACGUCGACGCCACGGAGCGCGCGAUCCACUUCAUCGACAGCAAGUACACGCUGCUCGCGCCCAACUACCCGGCGCAGAAGCCGCUGUACAUGAAGUACGCGGCCGUGGGGGGACAGGGCGGCCCGCGCUCCGUGGGCGGCGCGGGCGCCCCGCGGCAGAUGCCGCCGAUGAUGGGAAUGGGAGCGAUGCCGCAGCAGAUGCAUCCCGCGGCGUACGGGGCGUACCCUCCCCAGCCGCAGCACAACGUGGCGGCGUACGGGCAGCAGCCAGCCUACCAGGCCCAAGCGGCGGCGUACGGGCAGCAGCCCUACGCGCAGCAGCCGGCGCAUAAUGUGGCGGCGUACGGGCAGCAGCCCUACGCGCAGCCGGCGCAUAACGUAGCUGCGUACGGGCAGCCCCCGACGCAGCAGCCGGGCGCGGCGGGCGCGGGCGCGGCGGCGGGGGGAGGGUACGCGCAGUACCCUGGGCCCCAGCAGUGACGACUGCGACGCGACGCGAGCGUUAGGGUGGUAUGAUAUGUACACGUCGUAAACCUAACUCACGAGUAAUCUAUUCACGCGCGGCUGUCGCUCGUCUCCCCCCGCCCCCGCGUUGGGGGAACGACGUCGACGACGAAACUCAGUCAGUUUUCAUUUUUUUUGGUUUUUCUCUCCGUCCCUCCGUCCCGUCGUCCAUCGCGUCCUCCCUCGGUCGCUCAGUACGGCGCCGCGCCGCCGCGUCCGCCGCCGCCGCGUCCGCCGCCGCGUCCACCGCGCCCGCGCCCACGUCCUCUCCCGCGCCCCAUGUACGGCAUCGGCAUCAUCAUCGGCAUCAUCAUUCCGUACGGGUUCCAGCCGCGGCCGCCGCGGCCGCCGCGGCCGCCCCUGCCGGCUUUCAUCCCGGGCACGUUCGUCCUCUUCGCGCUCACCUUGAUCUUGCGCCCGUGCACUUCCGUGUCGUUGAGAAGCAGCGCGUUCGCGACGGCGUCCGCCUCGAGGAACUCGACGUACGCGAACCCUUUCGGGUUCUCGUACUUAUCCGUCAGGAUCGUCACUCUGUUCACCGUGCCGCAGGAUUGAAAGUGCAUCUGCAACUCUUCCGGCGUGCACGCGUAGUCGACGCCGCCGACGUGAAUGGACCGCGAGUCCGCUUCUUCGCGGUUCGCGUUCGCUUCCGCGCCGCCGGGGAUGGUGUUCAUCUCCUCCUCGACCUUGGCCUGCAUGUCGCGCAGUUUGUUCGCCUCGUCCUCCAUCUCUUGGAGCCGGGCUUUCAUCGCUUGGAGUUCCUGCGAAGAGAAGGAGAGAAGAGAAGGAGGAGGUUUCGUUUUUCUUUUCUUUUUUUCUUCGCUCGCUGGCUGUUUAAAACACGCGUCGGCUCUUGGCUCUCGGGUCCUUGGCUUUUCACUUUUUUAUUUGUGGUUUUUUUGCCUUUCGGACCCUCGCCUUUCAUUCGCCUUUUUCGCGCGUGUUUUUUCGCGAGUGGGCCGAGUUCGAUUUGGUUUUUUUUCGGGCCUCUUUCUUUCGUUCGUUCGUUCUUUUCCUCUCGUGUGGGCGUUCGGUAUUUUCCCGCCUCUUGUUAAGGGUCACGACGGUAUUUCGUCGGCCUCUUCCGCGAUAAGAUGUGAGACGAGACGCGAAGGCGUCGAUCGAAAAAAACCAGCCGUCGGCCGAAAAAACCAAACCUCGAGCGGAGCGGGGACGAGACGGGGCGGAGGACGGUAGGUCCCUCGCCUCCGACGCCGUCGUCGACGCGGUUUGUCGGUCGGUCGUGUCUCAGCUAUCACAUACCGCGUUGUCCUCGUCACCGGCGUCGUCGCCGUCGUCGUCGGGGAGCUGUGGGGUGACGGUCGCGGGGGCGGGGGAGGGAAACGGACGGACGAUCAGACUCGGAUCGAUCGCGCCAGCCGCGCGGCGCGGGAGAGGAAUCGAAAUUAAUUAAUUCUCGCGCGACGGCCGGCGAACGACGACGUUCGCGCGGCCUGUUCCGCGCGCGAUCGGGACCGUCGGCGCGCGCACCUCGCCGCCGUAGACCUGUGGGAAAGGACGGGAAGGAUCGUCAGCGCGUCGGCGUCGUUUGGGGUGGAUCGGGGACGACGCGGGGGAAAGGUUCGGCUGGAGAAAGAUCUCGCCGCCCGCGCGGCUGGGGGAUGGGAUGGGAUUCUCGUAAUUACGUCGUCACGGCGGGCGCGACGGCGGGCGGGACGCGGCGCACCUCGUCCGCGGGCUCCAUCUCGACUUCCUCGGCUGGUUUCUUCUUGCGAGGGGGCAUGCUGUUUUUGGGUAGGUAACGAACGGGGCGGUUCGUUCGCGUGCGGAAGCGCGCGCGAUCUGGCGGCGUCGACGACCGAGUUCCCGCGGCUCGUGGCGCGAGAAAUUUCGGCCGGGCUCGAACAGAACCUCGCGAAAAAAACGACAGCGACUGGAGAGAGACAGACGUCCCGAGCGACGCUGGCGUCAUUACGUCUCUCCGCGCGUGAUUCACGUCGCGCUCCCAGGACCGCGCGGCCGUCCUCGUGACGCGAACACGCGUCACGAUAUCACCUCCGCGUCCACCCGUCCCGGGUUCGUCGCGCGUCCAUCAGUGGAUCGGCAUCAAACACGCGGGCGUCGAUUCGUCUCCCCAGCGGUAUCCGACGUCGGCGCGCGCUCCGGAAGUCGCCGCGCGCGACCCCGGCGCGCCGUCCGCGAGAGCGCCGAGGAUGACACGAGACGAAAUGGAGGCGACGAUCAGAUGCUUUGUCGCAGACCACGCGGACCCCCGCCGAUCCAGCGACUUCACCCCGCCCGCGGUCGUCGAAGCGGCGGAGAUCCGCGUAAAACUCGAGAGCGAUUACCACAGCGAACACGACUACGCCGGCGACGUCAGCGAGGUAGCCGGCACUGAAGCCGGCGGCGGGGAAGACUGGGACGUGGACUCGGAUUCUAGUAGAGAAUGGAAUCGCGUCCCUGGAGCGAAGCGCAGAGCCGACGCCGACGCGGAGGACGCGGACCUCGCGCCGAGCGCGAAGAAACAUGCGGUGGCGAACGGUGAAAGAGUCGAAGUGGAAAGCGACGAAAGCGAUGAAAGCGACUACGGGCCACUUAAUGAAGCAGGCGCGUUCGAUGACGUCCCUUGCCUCGUUUGUGGACAGAAGGAAAGGGACGCGCGCCAGUUGCACGACGACUUCGUCUUGUGCGAGAACGUGGACAGUUGCAGGGGCGGCGGUCACUUAACGUGCUUGAAGCUGACGUAUGUGCCCAAAGACGUUUGGUUUUGUUCUCAGUGCGAAGACGAGAGCGACGGCGAACGCGCCGAGGUAAAGCCGCGCGGUGGUCGGCGUUGGAACCCAAAGUCGAAGUACUUUGGCGUCAGUCAGUUGAAAGGCAGAAAGUGGAAAGCCACGCACAAAAAUCAAUUCUUGGGAACCUUCGACACCGAGGUGGAAGCCGCGCGGGCGUAUCGAGACAGGGUCGGUGUGCAAGAUUUCGUGCUCCGCGACCCUAAGAAGCCUUUUAGCGACCCUAAGAAGCCGAUGCGGAAGUUGGUCCUCAACGUCAAGGUCGAACGCACGGACGUCGUCGCUGAAAGGCGCGGUGAUCUCGAUGACGACCAGCGCGCUACCCGCACGCGUUUGCCGCGUCAUCGGACCCCGAAAUCGAAGGCGGAACUCGACGCGGGGCUCGAAGACGCGCUCCCCGCUUCCGGAACGCCCGGCGAUACUCUCGCGGCGGCGGGCGACAAGAUGUCGAUCGAGACCGGUCUCGAAACGCUCAAAGAGUGGCGCGAGCGCAAGCUCAUCACCGAGAAGAUGUACGACGACCGCGCGAACGAGUUGUUGUCCAAGUUCACGGCCAAAUACUGAGUGAAGCGCGGAGGAGAGCGAACGCGGUAGCUUUCUUUUCUUUCGUUCGAGACGACGCCUCGCGCUCGCUACUUGUCCUCGACGUCGUCCACGUCCACGUCGAUCGUCUCCACGUCCACGUCGAUCACCGCGCUCGACGCGCUCGACGACCCUCCGUAAGACGACGCCCGGGACGACCCUCCCCCGUCCCCGCCGCCGCUGAGCACCUCGACGUCCCCCGCCGCGCCGCCGCCGAAAUCGCCGCCGCCGCCGCCCGCCACCUUGAUCAACCCGCCGUCGUCGAACCGCACGUCCACCUCCACCUCCAUCCUCCCCCCGGCGCUCCCGUCGCUCACGCCCGUCGCGUUGCACGACGCGCUGCGCCCGUCGCCGCGCGCGCUCUGCGCGAUGAACCCGAUCUGCACGCUCUGCCUCGUGACGCCGUUGACGUUCAUCGACGAGCUCAUCUGCGACAUCGGCGGCGUGAACGUCAUGUCCCCGCCGAGGCGCUCGCGCGUCGCGGCGUCCAUCCUGACCGCGCGCGUCGCGGCGUCGUACGCCUCCUGGCUCGCCUCCAUGCUCUCCGCCAUCUGGUUCUUCAGCGCGCCCGCGGCGUUGUUGAUGACCCCGGCGGCGACCUUCCCGAGGAGCCCGUCCCCGAAGAGCUGCUUGCGGAGGUCGUCGUUGAUGAUGGAAUUCUUGUCCGCCUCGCGCUUCGCGAUCGCGCUCUUCUCCUUCGCCUUGGCGACCGCCUUGAACGGGUUGAUCUUGCUCAGGAAGCCCUCGUCGUCGCCGCCGUCGGACGCCAUCGCGCGGGGGCGCGCGACGGCGCGUCGCGGCGCGGACGUCGACGGUCGGCGGCGUCGGUAUCCGAAUCCCGACGUCUUAUUCGACGACGACGACGACGAAUCCGACGCGGACGUCGCGAACGCGGAGCGCUUCGACGCCAUCGCGCGCGCGAGGGCGGCGCCGUGGAGCGCGGAAACCGACGACGCCAUCGCGCGAGGAUUUCCGACGUCGGACGCGCGCGCGGAAGCGAGAACCGCGCGGAGGGGGGGACGAGACGCGCGCGUCUCGGACUGCGACCCGCGCCCAGCGCGCGGCGAUCGUCGUCAGCGCGCUCGUCGUCCGCCGUCUCUCGAGCUGCCGGUCAAAAUGAUCGCGUCAUCAAAUUCUUACGUGUUUGAACCGCCGCCAGCCCCGGGCGAUCCGGCGCACAACUCCGCGCGCCAUCGCGUAACGAUCGACCGCGCGUCGCACGUCGACGACGCCGCGCGAACGCGCGAACGCUCCGAUCGCGCGCGCCCUCGCGGAUCGAGACCGCGCGACGCGAGCGAGCAGAUCGCGAGCGCUGGUCGGCGCCAAAAUUCAUUCACUCACUCGCGCGUCAUCCAUCGACCGGACGGCCGCGGUCGCUGACGACUGAGGUGAUCGACGAACGCCGCGCGAGGGACCACCGGGGGCGAUGGCGAACGACGAGUGGGCCGCGGGCGCGGACGGGAGCGACGACGAAGACCUCCCGCCUCUCCCACCCGCCGCGGACUGGGCCGCGGAGGACGACGAGGACGACGACCUCCCGCCGAUAACCGCGGACUGGGCUCGCGCGCCGACGCCGCCUCCGCUCGUCGCGUCCACGAACGCCGUCGCGUUCAAGCCUCGCGAUCGAUCGACGGCUGCGCCGGCGAUGCACGCCGCGGCGUCGCCGUGGAGCCGCCGCGGCGACCGCGACGAAACCCGCGGCGCGGGACGGGACGGGGACUCGGGGGGCGCGCCCCGCGCGGCGCCGUCGCGCGCGCCGAUCCAUCGCGAGGAUUCGAGACAUUUUUUAUCCACCGCCGUGGACUUCGACUCGCGCGACGGCGCCGGCUGGCGCGUCAAACCGGGCGCCGCGAAGAGAGAAUCGCCGUCCCCCGGGACAGUCGCAGCGGCGCCGUCCGCAGCAGCGCCCGCGCCGGCCGCGGAGGUGCACUACCCCUCCCGGGACGAGCAACGCGCCGCGGCGGCGAAGAAGGAAGAGUUGGAAAGUUGGAAACUCGCGCGAGAGCCGCUGACGGCGUUCUUCAGCAAGGCGCCCAAGGGCGAGCCGUACCCGCCGACCGCGUGCCGCGAACUCCUGUCGUCGCUGUCGGAGACGCCUCUCGCGGAGGGGCGCUUGAACCCGCUCGCGAAGAGGGCGUUCGAGGUGGUGUCGCACGCGCCGAAGCCCGGGGCGACGCCGCGCGACGCCGCGGCGCUCGAGCAACUCGUGCGAGGCGUCGUGAACCCUCUGUACCACCUCACGACGUACGGCGUCCAGGCUGCCGACGGCGGCGUCGUCGCCGCGACGAUCGCGGAGCAGAUGCACAAGGCUGCGGUGAAGCUCGUGAACGCGGCGCUGGAGAUUCUCGCCGCGGGGCAGGCGACGAGAGACGUCGUCGAGAGCGCCAAGGGCAUCGUCGUCGUCCGCGAGCAAGUCGCGGCGCUGCUCGGCGGGAAAGGGCCGGGCGGGGGGAAGGGGGAUAAAGACCUCGGCGCGCGCAAGGCCAAGGGGGCGGGAUCGUCGUCCGGAGCCGGAGGGAGCUGGGGCGGGGAUCGAGGCGAUCGAGGCGGCGGCGGGUACCAACCCGCGGUGAUGACCCGCGGCGGCGAUCGCGGGGGAGGACCGACGCCGCCCCGCGACGCCGGCGCCGGAGCUGGCGCCGCCGCCGCCAAGUCGAAUCCGUUCGGCGCCGCGCGGCCGGUGGAGGUGAAGUGGGACGAGAAAGAGAGCGAGUCGAGGCGCAGGAGCUUGGACGCGGCGCCCGGGAAGGUCACGCCGAACCCGAGGACGACGAAGGGUGGGGAGGGCGGAGGGACGUCGAGGCCGUCGCCGAGGACGACGUCGCCGCCGACGCGCGGCGACCGCCGGUCGUCCACCGGGUCGAGGCACGUCGGCGGCAACGAGGUCUACGACGCGGAGGACGGCGCUCACGGGAGCGGCGGACGGCGUGUCGUGCGCGUCAAGGUGGUCACCCCGAAAGUCGUGAUUCAUCGACCGUUCGAGAGCCCGGAGUCGACGGGCGGGAAGGGCGGGAGAGGCGCGAAAGGGUCGCCGCCCGCCGCGGAGCCUCGGUCUGGGGGUAAAUCCUCCGUCGGCGCGAACGCGAACGCGAACGCGAACGCGAACGCGAACGCGAACGCGAGCGGGAAGAAGAGCGGCGGCGGCGGUGGCGGCUCCGCGUCGAAGCACGAGUUGCCUCACCCGAAGCUCGGAGACGCGUCGUCCGCGAAGAGCGCGAUUCCGCAUCCGAAGACGUCGACGGACGCGGCGCACCCGCCGCCGAAACCGAAAGGCGGCGGCAAGGAGAAACCGCCCGGGGGUAACAAAACCAAGGACGACCACCUGGACUUGUUGGAGAGGGAGAUAGAGAAGGCGACGAUAAGCAAGAAAGGGAAAGGGAAAGCGAGCGCGGCGGGCGGCGCGAGCGGCGCGAAGCCGCACGAGCUGCCGCACCCGAAACCCGCGCCGCCGCCGCCGCCGGGCCCGCCGCCGGUGCCGCCCGGUCCGCCGCCGCCUCACCCCAACAAGGAGCUGCCACACCCGAAACCGUCGACGACGUCGGCCCCACACGCGGGAAUACCCGCGCCGAAAGUCGCGGGGCCGAAGCCGCCGCCGGGGAAGCCGCUGCCGCCGCCGCCCGCCGCGGCGUCGCCGUCGCCCGCGGCGCCGUCGCCGGCGCCGCCUCCGGCGCCGCGAAGCGGAGGCGUCAGCCGCCACAACAGCGGCGACGAGCUCGAUCACAUCUUGAACGAGGAGCUCGAGAAAGCUGAGGGCGGGGCGAAGCGUUCGGGGCGUCACCGAGGCAACCGCGCGAAGCCCGCGAAGUGAGCGAGGAAGGAAGGAAGACCGCGUCGAUUCGAUAACUCAAAAUUAAUUCAGUAUACGUACACCGACGACCAUUUCGGCGUACUGUAUCUUCGACGUCACGCGCUCAACCCGACGAGCCGCUCGCUGUACGCCCACAGCGCCUUCCCCUUCUCGCCGUCCAUCGCCUCCGCGCUCACGUCCCCGCGCUCGAACUUAUGCCCCGUCUUCCCCUCGCCCGGGGCGAUCCCGUUGUUGUAAUAGACGUCGCCGACGCCUUCGAGCUCCGCGUCUGUCACCAUUCGAACCAAGCAGUCGCCGCCGCCGUCCACCGUCUCCGCGACGUGGAAGAUCUCGUUCGUCGCGAAGUCGAACACCUUCACGAACAGCGGGUUCUGCGCGCGGAACAGCCCCGUGCGCGUGAUGAGCCCCGGCCCGAACGUGUUCACGGUGACGACGCUCCCGGCGUCUCUCAGUCGCCGUUGAAGCUCGCGCGCGAAGAGGACGUUGCACAGCUUCGAAUCCUUGUACGCCUUGUCCGCGUCGUACGGCGACCCGUCGAGCAUCUCGAACGCGGCGCCGUUCUCGGCCAACCCUCUGAGGUCGCCGAGGCCCGCGCCGAGGCCGACGUUCCCGCCCGGGGAGGCCGGGUCGUGGACCUCGCUCGCGGUGACGACGACGCGCGGCGUCGUGCCGUCGGAUUGCGGCGACGCCGACGCCGCCGCCUCGAGAUCCGGCAGCAGCAAGUUCGUCAGCAGGAAGUGCCCGAGGUGAUUCACCCCCACGGUGAUCUCGAACCCGUCCGCGGUGCGACGCACGGUGUUGUCGCCGCUGAACUCGACGCCGGCGUUCAGGACGAGCGCGUCGAGCGGCGCGGCGCGCCGCGACGCCGCGAACGCGCGGAUCGAAUCCAGCGACGCGAGGUCGCACUCCGCGGGCGUGAGCGACCCGGUCAGGACGACGCCGUUCGCCGCGGCGGUCGCCUCGAUGGACGCCUUCGCGGCCUGCGCUUUCGCGAGCGUUCGGCACGCGAGCGUGACGUCGUACCCGCGCGCGGCGAGCUUCGCGGCGCCGUCGAGGCCGAUGCCGCUGUUGCUUCCCGUGACGACGACGCUCUUGCGAUCGCGCGUCGUCGUCGUCGUCGUCUCGGUCGUCGUCGGCGCCUCGUCCGCGAUCGCGACCGGGGUCGUCGCGGCGAGCGCGGACGACGCGAGCGCGAGCGCGCCGCCGAGGACGACGUCGCGGCGCGACGACGCCGACGCCGGCGCGGACGCGGCGUCGUCCGUCUCGGCGCGCGCCGCGGAGACGGCGAUCGCGGAACGACGGGCGGUGGCGAUCGAUCUGCCGGCGGGGGCGACGACGCGCGCGCGGAGGCCGCGCGCGGCGUUCGCGCGCGCGACGCGCGCGUGGAGGUGUUGCGACGUCAUCGCGCUCGUCGUCAUCGCGGCGGCGGUCGUCGUCGCGCGCGCGGAGCUGUGAGCCGCGCGCCUUAGGUGCGGAUAACGAACAGAAAGAAGUCGCGCGCGCUCGCUCGCGUACAGGUUCUUUUCGCACUCUGCUGUGCUUGCGUGGUUAAAACUGAAUUACGUUACCCCUACACCCCUCGCGGUCGUCUUGCUCGCCCCCAUCCCUCCUCCCGUCUGUCGUUCUUCCCGCCUACUUACCCCCUCUCUCCCCCCUCGCUCGCCCCGGCCGAUCCGAUCGCGUCGGUCAUCGCUUCUUCGUCGCCGCCGUCGUCGCGCGCGCUUCCCCCGCGUCGCCGGAAACGCCCGCGCCCGCGCUCGCCGCCGCCGCCCCGGUCCCGGUCCCGGUCCCGGCUCCGGCGGCGACGCCCGCGGAGACGCUCUUCCGCGUGGACUUCGGGACCGGCGGCGUCUAGAAGUACGCCCCUGGCCCGGGCGUGUCGAGCGGCUUCCGCGCGAAGAGCACGACGCCGUUCCGGUCCGCUUUCGCGACGCGCGCGUUCAUCAAGUUGACGUCCUCUCCGGGCUUCAAGUUGCGCGACGGCGCCCACUUGUACGCCGGCGCCGUGUUGUAUUUGCUCGUCCUCUGCGUCCCCAACGAGCUCGGCGCGGCGUCGUAGUUCGCCGCGGGCCCCGGGGAGUCUCUGUUGAGGUCCUCGCGCUCGAAACCGCCGCCGAUGUACUUCCCUUUGUUCUGCUCGCGCGUCGUGCGAGACUUAAACGUCAACUCCGGCGCCGUGCCCUUCUCCGCGGACAGCUGACGUCCCAGCGAGCUGUAGUCUUUGUCGAAGCCGUCCAUGCCGCUAUCCCUAUCGUUGAGUCGCCUUACCUGGUCGUACGCGGCGCCGGCUUGCGGCUCUCGAAUGAUUUUGUAGUGCUCGACGGGCCCGUACCGCCCCUCGCGCUUGCCAAAGUCCGUCUUGGUCCCGUGGUUCCCGAACUUCUCCCACGGCGCGUCGCGCUCGUACUGCCCCGGCCCCGGUCGGAUCACCCUCUGACCGCCGCUGUUGACGCGUCGUCCGCCCUCGUAAAACUCCGCCUGCUCCACGGAGUCUUGGACGUGUCGAUUCGGGUUGUCCGAUCGCACGAAGAGCCGCGACGCCGCGACGCGAUCGGUCCUCGAGAAGACCGUCGCGGGCUCGUUCUUCUUGUGCCCGAGCGUCUGCUUCCCGAACGACGACUGCGGGUUCGAGAUCCGCGGACCGAGCGUCCCUUUCACGACGGUCUCGUCCAGCUGCGCGGUACCGAGCGGAGGCAAAUCGUAUCGUUUCCACGUCUCCUUGCCACCGCCUCUGGGGGUGAACACGCCGCCUCCUGUCUCCGCGCCGGAGCGACCGUACGCCCGCGCGGGGGAGUCCGCGAGCCUCGGGAACUGGUCCGUCGUGUCCGUGCUCCGCUUCCACCGCGGCUUCUCCUUCGUCGUCGCCGUCGGGCGCUGACGCGACGGGCUCGCCAAGUGCCGGUGCGUAUCCGCCCAGUCCGAGAAUGGGUUUUCUUCGAUCGUGGGCUUGUAGCUGUAGCCCCAGUUCGCUUUGUUUCCCUUGCCCUUCGUCGUCGGUUGCGGGCGGGUUCGGUCCUUCGGCGACGGGGAUACGCCCCAAGACGCCAUCUUCGCAGAUCGGAGUCGCGCGCGAUCCGGCGCGGUCGUGUGCGGGCGCGCGAUUCCACUGCGGGCGAACGUGUUUCCCCGAUUGGAAUCAGAGUUGCCGCCGCGGCCGGUUGGCGCGAAAAAAAUCAGGUGAUAAGCUUCGGCGAAUUUUGGGCGAAAAAUCUUUACACCAAUUGCCCAUACACAUACACGUACGAGUGUAUGAGAUCUUGAGGUCGGUCGCGCCGUUUCAAAAAAAAUAACGUCCCGAUACCAGCAGAGCGAAAAAUCUGAGAGCGGGUGUUCGGGCGUCAGGCGUCAUCAGUCUCGCCUCGACAGACACACACGAUGGAGCCCCGCGCGUCGCCGUUCUACGACGGCGACGUCGCCGGCGCGAUCGCGCUCGCGAGAGCGCACAACGUCCCCCUCCUCGUCGCGCUUCACGGCGGCGACGACGCGAGCGCGAGGCUGGACGAGACGUGGACGUCGGAGACGUCCGAGGUUUCGCGCGAGAUUCGCGGCGAGACGCGCGCGGCGGGCGAAGACGGCGACGGCGACGGCGACCGCGAGGGGGUCCCUCCGCGCGCGCGAUGGGUCGCGCUCCGCCUCGACGCGAACACGACGGACUACGCCAACUUCGUGAAACUGUUCCCGACGUCGUCGCUGCCCGCGGUCGUCGUGAUCGACCCGAGCGCGGGGUCGACGCUCGCGCGUCUCGAGGGCGAGGCCGCGACGAGCGACGCGCCGGACGAUCUGCUCGCGGCGUUGACGGCGUGUCGCGAAGCGCACGAGCGGCGGCGCUCGACCGCGGCGCUCGCGACCGCGCUCGCCGCCACCGCGGCGGCGACUCCGGCUCCGCCUUCGCCUCCGGCGGUCGCGGAGGUCGCGGAGGUCGCGGAGGUCGCCGCGGCGCCGCCGCCGGCGCCUCCUCCUCCGCCUCCGCCGCCGCCGGUCGCGCCGCCGCCGCCGCCGCCGCCGCCGCCGCCCUCCGCGGCCGCGUCCGCGUCGGUGUCCGAAUCCGGCGUCCGCCAGCGCCGCGGCGCGGCGAUCGGGAAGACGAAAGCGGAGAUGCGCGAGCGAAAACGACCGACGCCGUCGUCGCCGCCGCCCGUGGGCAAGUCCAAGCGCGAGUUGCGCGAGACGCCCCCGCCAAAACGCGCGCCGUCGCCGCCGCCGCUGCCGCGACGGCCGAUCGACGUCAGGUGCCAAGUCAAACUCCCGAACGGCGCGACGAUCACCACGCCGGACCUCCCUCCCUCGGACGUCACGACGAUCCGCGACGUGCGAAGAGCGAUCGAGCCCGACGCCGCGAGCGCGGGGGUGACCGCGUUUGAGCUUUGGACGACGUGGCCGCGCGCGCGCGUGGACGAACGCGGCGGCGCCGACGCGAGGACGCUGGACGCCGCGGGGUUAGGACCUCGGCCGUCGCUGAUGGUCGUCGGCGUGGACGACGCGAGGAGGAGGCGGCAGCGCGGCGAGGCCGCGCUGAGGCCGAGGCCGGCGGUUUCGGCGGGGGGUGGGGGUGGGGUGGGGAGGAGGGCGAACGCGGCGGCGGCGGGCGGCCCGCUCGCGAUCGCGCUCGAGAUUUUACGGCGGAUCUGGGCGACGGUGUCGAUGUUCUUGGGGUUGAACGAGGCGCCGCCGCUCCGUGGCGGGGAGCGCGCGGAGAGAGGAGAUGACGCGGCGCGCGGCGGCGGCGGCGGCGAGCGACGCUGGUCGAGGAGCGAAGCCGUCGCGGCGUCGAACGCGGCGCGCGCGUUCGCGUUCGGCGACGGCGGCGCGUCGUCGCCGCCGCCCUCGGCGUCCGCGCCGCGCCGCGCGCCCGGCGGGGGCGCGGCCGGGGGCAACGUCCACACCCUCGGGUCUAGCCGCGAGCGCGACGAGCGACGACGCGACGGCGACGACGGACGGAACGCGUUUUGGAACGGGAACUCCACCGUCUGGGGCGGCGACGAGAGCCGCGGAGGAGGGAGCGACGACGGCGACGACGCGAGAGGCUGAGCGAACGAAAACGAACGAACGAAUGAAUGAAUAUCACAGCGGACGACUCCCUCGUCCAUCACUCCCUCGCGAUGUCCUUCGCGCUCGCCUGCGACGUCGGGUACACGAGCAUGUCGCACACCUGCACCCGCCCCGGCCGGGUGAGCGCGUACACGAUGUUAUCCGCGAUGUCCUCCGCCAGCAGCGGCCCGCCGUACUUCAUGCCCUUAUACACGCCCUCCGCCUUCGCCGCGUCGCCCUUGAACCGCACGGCGGAGAACUCGGUGUUCACGAACCCGGGCGCCACGGUCGUGAUCUUGCACGGCGUGUCGUGGAGGUCCUUGCGACACGCGUACGUGAACGCGUUCACCGCCGCUUUGGUCGCGCAGUACACGCUCCCGCCGCCGUACCACUGUGCGUUCCAUACAAAGCGAUGUCGGGGUGGAGUUGAAAGGCGUCAGUUGGAGUUGAAAGGCGUCGAGGGCGGGGAUUGAAAGCGAGGGGUGGGCGGAGAGAGACGAUGGCAAAAGUCCUUAUGGAUCGGCGUUCACCACGCCAACGCGGUCGUAUGGGGACCAGUGUAAGGAGAACAUACCUCGAUCCCGGCGAUGGAGGAGAUGUUGAUCACGUGGCCCUCGCCGCGCGCCACCAUCCCCGGGGUGAACGCGCGCGUGCACGCGAUGAGCCCCUUCACGUUCGCGUCGAUCAUCGUGGACAUGUCGUUCAUGUCGUUCUCCGUGCACUUGGCGGUGCCGAGCGCGCCGCCGGCGUUGUUCACGAGGAUGGAGACGUCGGCGAAGUCGGCGGGGAGCGCCUCCGGGAGCGCCAUGACGGCGUCGACGUCGCACACGUCGAGCUCGAUGCAGUGCACGCUCGCGCCUGUGGACGGCGCGCGGGGUGGGGUGGUGUGGAGGGAGGAGGCGUCGGAGGUGAGCGGCGUUCGAGGGAGGGCGAGAGAUCGAGCGAGCGAUCGAUCGGUCGAUCGCGCGUCGUUUCGGACUCCGCUCGGACGACGCGAUCGCCGCGGGGACGCACCGUGCUCGUCGCGCAGCUUCGCCGCGAGCGCGUCGAGGCGAUCCUUCCUCCGCGCGGCGACGACGAGCCGGCAUCCGAGCUCCGCGAGCCUCUCCGCGGUCGCGAAUCCGAUCCCGGACGACGCGCCGGUGACGAGCGCGCAUCGACCCGCGACGGGCGCGGGCUGGUACAGCUUCGAGACCAUCGGCGCGGGAGGGACGCGGGCGGCGGCGGCGUCGGCGGACAUGACGCGCGCGAUCGCGGCGACGAACGGCGGCGGCGGGCGAGCGCGCGCGGAGGAGAGCGCGGAGAGCGCCGAGGGGUCGCGGAGGAAGCGAGUCGCGAACGUUCUUGCGCGAACGAGCGCGGUCAUGGAGUGCGCGCGGCGUCGCGCGCCGUGGCGGGAAAACCGCAGCGCGAGGUCGUCGCGCUCGCGGUCGGCGCCUCUCAGCCCCAGCCAGCUGUGACCGAUCGUCCGCGACGAUCGACCGUCCGCGCGCGCCAUUCGCGGACGCGCGCCGACAGAAGACGCGCGCCUCCCUCGUCACCCCGACGACGCGAGAGGGCGCGAUCGUCGCGCCCGGAUCGAUGGCGCCGCCGCCGCGCGCGUCCGGCGACGGGUUCGCGCCGUCCGAGGCGGCGCUCGCCGCGGCCCUGGACGCCGCGGAGGAUAUCUGGUUUCACGACGAGCGCGCGGCGACGACCGACGACCGGCUGGGGGGAUGGCGACGCGCGGGCGCGGGCGCGGGCGCCGCGUCGCCGCCGCCGCGCGCGCGAAUUCGCGCGACGAACGGCGGCGAUUCGACCAACGCCGACACGCCGAAGAAGACGUCGCACCAUCCCUCCUCCUCCU
rnacentral:lncRNA from 1 species